UUUUUUUUUUUUUUUGCUUCAUUAAGUUCUUAUUGUCUUUUUGUAUGUGUUUAUUCUUUAAUUCUUAUAUUUAGACAUGGUUAAACAGCGUAAAGAUCUGUACUGAUCCUUUCAUAUUGUUGAAGAGAAAACAAAUGUAUAGGAUGAUUCAUGUGUUGCCUGCAUGUGUUUUUAAUCUCUACAUCAGAAGUACGAGGCUUUGUACUGUUUUAGAACAUCAAGUAGGUUGACACUUUGUACUAUUUUAGAACUUCAAGUAGGUAAUUUUUGUCUGAUCCAUAGCAGUGAGAGUAGACGAGGUGCUUUUUUGAAGAGUUGUAUUGCUUGGAGUUCUGAAGGUUUCCUUCCCUAUCAUAGUGCUAAACUCUGAUUUCAGUCCUAUAUUUUCUGUUCAAGUUAGAUACAAAUGGUGUCCUAGUUCAGUUAUUAAUAGAACCAUCUGAAUUCUGAACUAAUGGUAGAAUUUGGUACUCCUAUAACUCUUUCUGAGUUUAAAAGAGAAAAGGAGUCAAAAGGAGGACCAUCCUUUCCCUUUAUUGCAUUCCUACAUCUGCUUUUCCUAGUUCCCUUCCCAGUCUUUUGAGUUGGCAUUGAAGCCUCAAUGGCUAAUGUAAUCAAGGAGGGAAAGACAGGAAGCAAAAGGUAGCAUGGAAUGAUGGAGAAUUGGAGGAAACGUGGUGAUGAAUUGUAAGGGAUUGCUGGUGUUUGGGACGUGCCGGAGGGGGCAAAUUUUGUCGACCGGUUAUUUUUCUUCCGUGCUCUGGUGAAGGAAUUGAGUUUAGAUGAGGUUUAAGUCUCUAGGUAUUUAAAUUUGCUGUAGUAUUGAAACUGAGGCCAGCAAAAUUAGGUUUAGGCUUAGUUCCAGCGUUGAGCUGGAUACUUUAGCCUUAUAUAUGUAGGGUAGAACUAAGUAUUAUUUGUGGGAUACCUUGCUUGCUGUUUCUGAAUGUCCGGGCUAAUUUUGGAGAAUGAGACUGAUCUUGUACAAGAAGCAGGUUAAGGUGCUUAUCAGUGAAGCUUCUCAAACAGCCAGUUCCAAGAAAAAUGAAGCUUCUCAAACAGUCUUCUAUUCAUGGCAUUCUCUGCACUCUACCGAUUUCUAGCAGAUUCAGAAUUUUCUUUAUUAUGAUCAGUUUUUUUUUUUUUGUUGUGUGUGUGUGUGUUUCUUUUUUUCCAGAUAAGGAAUCAGUUGUGUCUUCUUAAGAUGCUCUGUCUAGUAAUUGAUGUUUGCCUUCUCUUAGUGAUAGAAAAUAUCUGUACUCCUUGUUACAGUGCUAGUUGGCCUUGUGAAAUUUUCUGACUCAUAGUAUAGAGGUUUUUACUUAAUUGUGAAGUUUCACCUAUUAUGUAAAUGCUCUACACCCGUACUCUUUGUCUGCCUUUUCACUUUUGCUACAUGGUUUGUCGGGUAAAUAUCUCCUUUAGUUUCAUCUACAUUAAAUAAGAUGCCUAAAUGGGUCUGGGUUGAUUAAUUGGAUUAUACUUUCUGAAUGUACUGAACAAAAAUUCCAUCUUUAUUCGUGAAUUAUGUUGCUAUUACAAAUAUUCAUCUCUUCUGGAUAUAUGUUUCUGGGUCAUAAUUGUUCCCAAGCCUCAUUUCAUUUCAUUAGUUGUCUUCCUCUUAUAAGCUAGGGCAGUUUCCUUUUUGCAGGGAUAGAAAUAGAUGAUGAUGAACUUGCACGUUUUGUGGAACAUGUCGAUAAGGAUAAUAAUGGGAUUAUCACUUUUGAAGAAUGGAGAAAUUUUCUUCUACUUUAUCCACAUGAGGCCACGAUGGAGAAUAUAUACCGAUACUGGGAGAGGGUAUGUCUUGUAGAUAUUGGUGAGCAGGCUGUAAUUCCAGAAGGCAUCAGUAAGCAUGUUCAUGCAGCUAAGUAUUUGAUUGCUGGGGGAGUUGCAGGAGCUGCUUCUCGUACCGCUACAGCUCCCCUUGAUCGGCUUAAGGUGGUUUUACAAGUUCAGACUACCCGUGCUUCUAUUGGUCCUGCUGUCAAAAACAUAUGGAAGGAGGGUGGUUUAUUGAGUUUUUUUAGGGGCAAUGGAUUAAAUGUGAUGAAGGUUGCACCUGAAAGUGCAAUCAAGUUUUACACUUACGAAAUGUUGAAAAAUGUAAUUGCUCGUACGAAGGGGGAGGAACAGGGUGACAUUGGAGCUUCUGGGCGUCUUGUGGCGGGGGGCUUGGCUGGUGCAGUAGCACAGACUGCUAUCUAUCCCAUGGAUCUCGUUAAGACUCGGUUACAAACUCAUUCAUGUGAAGGUGGAAAGGUUCCCAACCUGGGAAAACUAUCAAAAGAUAUAUGGGUUAAGGAGGGAUCUCGGGCCUUUUAUAGAGGACUGAUACCAUCUCUUCUUGGAAUUAUACCUUAUGCAGGCAUUGAUUUGGCUGCCUAUGAGACAUUGAAGGAUUUGUCCAAGAUAUAUAUUCUUCAUGAUAGCGGUAUAGCUUCUAACUGUUCAACUGCUACUAACUUUUGUCCGACAAAAUGAAAUGCAAAUUUUUCUAACAAUUGUGUUUGAUAUACAGAACCUGGCCCUCUUGUGCAACUGGGUUGUGGGACAAUUUCCGGAGCGCUUGGAGCAACUUGUGUUUAUCCUUUACAGGUCGUUCGGACGAGGUAACUCUCUAUGUCUAACUGAUGCUGCUACCAUAAAUAUUUGCAUUUGAAUGUACUUCAUGUGUUAUCAUGCAAUUUGCCUUUCUUUUCACACACAAACUUCAAUUUUUGCUAGAAUGCAAGCUCAACCUACAAAUGCUGAUGCUGCUUACAAAGGAAUGUCUGAUGUGUUCCGGAGAACACUUCAGCAUGAAGGUCUCAGAGGCUUCUACAAAGGACUUUUUCCAAAUCUUCUAAAAGUAGUUCCAGCAGCAAGCAUUACUUAUCUCGUUUAUGAAUCCAUGAAAAAGAGUCUAGAACUCGAUUAGGUGAUAUAUUCUUGAUUGACUGCUCCACAUUUGGGGGUAAAAACAGCUGAUGCGGAGGAUGAUGAUGAAAAUGAAUUAAGAUUUUAGGCUCAUUGGUGCUUUGAUCGUCAAAAUAAUGCACUUGACUUUAACUUAACAAAAAUAAAAAUAAAAAUAACAUACACAUGAUUGAUGCGCCAUUGCAUGUUGAAGAAAUUUUAACGGGAGUUUUUUUCUUCUCCUGACAGAGAAGUCUUCUUUUGGUGAUUUCUGUCUGAGUUCUAUAGGCACGUCCUCUGUAAACUAAUGCUAAUUUUUACAUACACAAUGUAAUACUGUAAGGUGUAGAUCUUACCAUUUUUGCUAUAUGGAUAAUUUGCGUGGAUGAUCUAACUCAUUUUGCUCCAUUUUCCUUGGUGCAGACGAGACCGUUGUAUUACCAAAAUAACCAGGUGCUUACUGUGUAACCAGAAUUCAUGGUUCGACAUUAGAUUUCUUAUACUCGUAAAGUGGGAUGGUAAGUAAUCUGUUAUUGUGCUCAAAUACUUGAGUUAAUCAAACAGCACUGAAAAUUGAAAUCCCGGCAUACUCAAUCUGCCUCUGUAUUAAGUAAAACUAACCAAAGUAUACGCAAAAGAAGAAAGAACGUUCACGUGGAUGUAUGUAUGUAGAAGUAAGUAUAAAGUUAAACGAAAUCAAAGGUAAAUAUGAGAGUUGAAUAACAAAAAAUUAUUGUUGCACUAGUAUAAUAUGAGAGUUGAAAAACAAAAUUUAUUAUGAUAGUAUAAUAUGAGAGUUGGAAAAAAAUAUUUAUUGUCAUAGUAUAAUAUAUUUUUCUAAGGUUGCGAGAAGGGUACGAUGUCAUUCUUUUAAUUUUUUUUGCCCUUUCUCUAUCCGACAGGGAAGCAAGAAGUAUUUUUUUUCUUUCUAAUCUACUCGUUAGCAAAUAAUGUUAGAUUAUUUCCUUAAUAUGGCGUCAGAAGCUCAAAAGUUUUAAACUUUCAGUUUUUUCUAUAUUUAAUAUUUACACGCUAAACAAAACCCCAAAAAUAAAUUAUUUAAUUUUGGGCCGUAAAAUUUUCAAUACUGCUGUCAGUAUUUCUUGGUUAGCCGAGGUCUGGGAGAAAAAUCACUAUAAAUAAUGUUUUUUUAUUAAGCGAGUGAGAGGGUGCCGUUUUCUGCUGAGAUCUGAGGUAACUCGCCGUUUCUCUCGAAUCAUCUACGUGUGUAUUUCAACAUUACUAGUUUUUAUAUACGUGCCUCGCACGUAUAAUAAAAGGCGCACCUAAUAGUUAAUAAUAUGAAUAUACUUGUCACCAAAAAAGUGUUAAUAUGAAACUCAUGAUAUUAAAGAUUUACUUGUAGCUAAUUCAUUUUCUUUAUCACUAUUAGUUUUUUAGUUACUUAUAUGAAAAAAUGGGCAAAAAACAUAUAAAAUGGGCAAGAAAGAUUUUCGUGCAUAUAAGAAGACUUGAGAGAUUGAACCAUAAGAACUUGCUUCGUAUCGUAUCUUUUACGAUAUAAGGAAGAAAUUUUUUUUUGGUUUUUGAAUAUGUUAAACAUGGACUUACAAUUUAUCUAGAAUUGUUAUUAUUCAUACUCUCAUAUAAUUAAUUGACCACUACAUUAUUUUUGCUCUUUCUUCUUUCUUUUUUCCCUUCCAACUGUGAAAUUAAGAUAUGAGAUGGUAAUAGUAGAUAUGAAUUUAUAACUUUAAAAUUAUAACGCAUUAAAUGCUAAAAAACUUGAAGGUUGAACUUAUAAAAUUUAAAUCUUAGAUUCGCCUUUGUAUAGCAUGCUAUCAAAUUAAUUCGUCAAUAUAUAUGUCAGACGGUUCGAACACAACGGUCAUUAAGACAAUCUAGGUGGUUCGAAGUGAUUUUAAGCAUCCAAAAUAUAUCCUUCUUUUGUUGUCGAUUUUUCCGAUAGUACAAACAUGGGUUAUGGUGUAGAUAUUACCAAGAUCAGUCAUAUAAUUUUUAGUGUUUGUUUACAUGACUUAUUCAUCCAUGAAAAUAUAUAGUACACGAGAGUAAAUAAUGUUUCCUUUAGAUUAAAAAAUCAAUAUUUAAAUCUUUAAUGUUUUUCUUAAACCUUUUUCCUGGGGAUUAUUAAUGUUCUCCCAAAGAACCACUUUGCUAAUUAAUGGAACUUUUAAGAAAUAAAUAAAUUUAGUCGAAAUAGCAAUAACCAAAUAAAAUAGGUACACACAAUAGAGCUUAAAGGAGUACUCCUACAUUUCAACACAUCCAUAGAAAAAAAAUAACCAAUCGGUUGUUACAACAUCAGUGUAGCAAUUGAAAACACCAAGUGUCUUGAAUUCCGAUUAAGUUUGUUAAGAUGAAUGCACGGAGGUCUGAUAAUACCAAGCUACAAGUUAUACAAAUUAGUUAACACAAGUCAUUCCUUUUCAAAUUGAGAGUACUCCUUUACCGAAUAGUUUUCUUAUCAUUCAAUCGGUUUCUUUUUGACUUCAAAUCCUAGAUAUUAGAGUACUAAAUAUUAGGUAAAGUUUUGGGUGUUACAAUUUUAUCCAUCAUGGAGUUAUUUAUUUGCACAAAUAAUUCAAUUUCAUAAAGGGAAAAAAAGUCGAUUAAUAUUUCAAUGAUAUUUUUAUCGUUCAAUAUUUAGCGUUUUAACACUCGUGCUUUUAUAAUAAUAUAGAUAGAUAUAAAUAUAUAGCGCUAAUAUAGAAACGCACCCACAUCUACCUAUAUAUGAGGUAUGGAGUGGGAAAGAAGCAAAGUUAUUUUUCACAUGCAUGCCACGGGCUAAUUAACUUGUUUCGUUUUUUUUUUUUGAAUUUUUUUCGCCUCGUUAAAACUAUGUCGUAUAUAUAUGAUUGAAGGAAAGCAAAUAUCUUUCGGUUUAUGGAGCUUAAACAGAUUUUAGGUGCCAUCAUUCUGGUAUAUUCAUUCAUAUUCAAGUUAAUUAGCGUACUUUGCUAGUUGGAAUGGCCUUUGUGAUACUAAUUAUACUUAUCGGGGAAGAUGAAUAAUGUAGGAUUCCUAACGUAUAAUAUUAUGUCCUAAAACUAAUAGGAUUAUAAGGCCAAUAUUUAGAAUUCCGGUUAUGUCUUUUUAUUAUGAGUUAUUAUGCUUAAUGUUAUAAGGUAAUUUUUGUAAACCGACAUUGUAUUCAUGCUAUUAUAAUAAUAUAAAUAUAGAUAGAUAGAUAUAGAUAGUGUUACUCAUGCGCUCUUGAUUUAUACAAAUACUGUAUUUUCUUGCGUAGAUGUUACUGAUAUUUCAAUAACCUGCUUAUCUCUCAUUAUGUAUUAUUCACAAUUCCGGAUCUAGGAUUUUAAUCCUAGGUUUAGGACUUAGGUUCCAACCACUGAAACCAUCACCUUGUCUUUCCCUGGAGCUAAAAUACCAAUAGACAGGAAUUUGUUCUAAUAGCUUUUGAUCUUUUUUCACCUGAUGUUUUGUUUCUUGGAAGCCAUAUGAUCCUAUGCCUUUUAUCCCUAUUAUUUUAGGUGUUGAUAAGUUUUUCUUAGGUGUGUCACUAGUGUUUAGGUCUAAGACUAUUGGUUUCCUUUAACAAACUACUAUUCAUUAUAUUCUGCAUUUUUAUCAAAUGGUGUUGGCCUAUGAAUUGCAUAUACACAUAUUGUUAUUUGGAACGACAUUAUUUACACGCACAUAUAGGGAAGGUUUCUGUGAAGCUGUGUCGAAAAACACCUCUUAUCAGAGGCUGUCUCUGCCAAUGUGUUUGAUAAUAUGUGUUAUUGGUCAUACUUGUUAAAUUUCUAAUAUCUUUGGUUAACUGUCAGCAACUCGUUACACCUGAUAUCUUACAAAAACUCCUGCACAAAAUGGUGAGUGACCGUUUGAGUAAUUGAACCUCAUCCUCUUAUUACCCAUUGCCCUUUGACUUUGAACCAUAUAUCAUUUGUUCUCCUCAGGUUCUUCCGAAUGAUAUUGAUUAAGCUUGGGACAAAAACACAUAACUAAAGUCUCUACUCCAAGUACCUACUUGUUCUGUGGUAAUGUAUAACCACUGAUAUUCUACACAUAUUGUUUGAUCCGUUGUCACGUCCUUUGUUUUUUGCCUUCUCUUCUUUUAACUCUAAUCAACUGUUGCAGGUUGUGAAAUGUCAAUGCUUCUUCAAUACGCAAGUAACAAGAACUUGGUCUAUAUUCUUGUUUGUAUAGGUAUUCUUUUGAUAAUUAACUAUUAGUUACUGAUUUAAUAAGGUACUAGCUACUAAUAACUUCUUUACAAAUCUUACAGGGCUACGGAUUUUGGUCGUGCACAAUCGCUUGUUCUAUGCUCCAGCUGCCAACAAGAGACAUGUACACCAUCACCUAUGAGAUCGAAGCUUACAGAAGGGCUGCUGCUCCUUUAGGGUUAAAAAAGAAUGCUAAGAUGAUCGUUUGCCUGAUAUUUAGCUAUAGUUAGUUGAACUACCAAGGUGACAUAUAUAUAAGUACUUAAAGGAUGUGUUAGUCAACAGAUAAGUUUUCCGUUUACUCAGCUUCUUUUUGUGAAAACAUUCGUACUAUGAAUAAUUUGGCUGUCGUAUUAGUCUACUGCAAUUUGAAGCGAUUAAUCUUCUUAGCUUUCGAUUUUAUUCUUGUGAAAAGAAUAGUCCAUAUAUGGGCGUCAACUUCUUUGGUCAUUCAUAUAUAUAAUGCUGGGGGAUAGGGCUUUCCGUUGACUCUCAAUACAACAACAAAUCCGGGGUCUGGGAAGUGAUAAUGGGUACGCAAACCUUACCCCUACCCGGAGGAGCAGACUCUGAAUAGCGUUGUGAUUGCACUAAGCAAAUCCAAGCGUGAUGUUUUCUAUGGAUGUUAACUGGUACAGAGAAAAAUAGAGUAAUUAUUUGUUAUAGCUAGUUAAGUUGCAUUUAUAGUGUAAAAUUUCUUUCAUAUUGUCACUACAUAUAGAUUAAAUCCUUGAUAUGCAUGCUAGAAAAGUUGGGAGAAAAGGGAAGAUAAACACCAUUAUACUUAGUGGACUAGAAAGGUAAGAACAAGACUGUAUUUCUUAAAAAGAAGGCAUUGCCUCCAACACCAUUAAUAGCAAAGCAACAAACUCAACAAGGACAUUGGUUGAACAGUAGUUUAAUCAAAAGCUAAAAGACUAAUAAUAGCAAAGCAACAAACUCAAAAGCCAGGCUGAUCCAUGAUAUGAUGGAGAAGUAAUAUGAAAAUACAAGAAGAAAAAGGUAAAAAUCUGGAAGAAAGGCGUUGCCUUCCCUUUGCCGCUAUGACUUGCCUGUUAACCCUUGGUAUCCGAUUCACAUCAGAUGCACCAAAGGGUGUGACCUAGUGUUCACAUAAAAGUUGUAGAGAUCGCCAUUUCCAUCCUCGAGUACUCCAUCAAAAUCCUUCUUUUUCUUCUUUCUCCACAUCUUCUUAUGCUUCAUAGCCUUAUAGUGCAACUAAUUAUAGGAGCUGAGUUUCUGUUUUCUCUUGUCUCUACAUGUCCUAUUAUAUAGGAGUAACAAUCUUGAAAGCCAAGAAUUUGUCCACCAUAUUAUCUGUAGACUAUAGCCAAGGGCUAGAAACAUAAAGAAAUGGUAAAUUUUUAUGGUCCCCCUCGUAGCUAUAUUCUUUUUGUAUUAGGCCAUCCUGCUUAUCCACCACACCACUAAGAAUAUUUAUAUUCUUUCUUUCAAAAGAUUUAAAUUAAUACAACAACAACGAAGGAUGAAAUGGAGACUCAUUUCCGGUAUUUCGUGCGAUAAGAAGGUCCCACCGAAACUUAAAGGUAAGUUCUACAAAGUGUUGGUCAGACCGACUAUGUUGUAUGUGAGUGAGUAUUGGCCAGUCAAAAUCGCUCAUGUCUAGAAGAUGAAGGUAACAAAGACGAUGAUGUUGAGAUGGAUGUACGGGAAUAUCAGGUUAGAUAGGAUUAGGAAUGAGGUUAUUUGCGAUAAGGUAGGUGUGGCCCCUAUUGAGGACAAAAUGCGGGAAACGAGUCUUAGGUGGUUUGGACAUGUGAGGAGGAGCACAACGCCCCGAUAAGGAGGUGUGAGAGGUUAUUGGAGGGCCUACCGAGAGUUAGAGGUAGGCCGAAUAAAAAGUGGGGAUAGGUGAUUAGGCAAGACAUGGCGCAACUUCAGCUGGCUGAGGACAUGACCCUUUGAUAGGAACGUGAAAAGGUCGAGGAUUAGGGUAGUAUGGUAGGCGGUCUAGAUUGUUCAUACCGGUAGUAUUGGUACGCACUCUCGCAUUCUGUUGGUAGUAGUUUUUUAUGACUAACCGUUGUUUUCUUUCAUUGUUGGUCAUCUUAUUAUCUUGUUUGUUUUUAUUCUGCUUUUAUAUGGCUUUUUGGUGGUCCCUUCUUGUCUAUAUUUUUAUUAAAUUGGUGCUUAUACUUUCAUGAGUCGAGAGUUUAUUGGAAACAAUAUCUCUAUUCUUAUAAGGUAGGGGUAAGAUCUGCGUACACGCUACCCUCUUCAAACCCCACAAUGUGAAUAAUACUAGGUAUGUUGUUAUUGUUAUUGUACAACAACGAUUAUGUCACAAUUCCAAAUAAGUUGAAGUCAACUAUUCAACUUUUUGGUGUUAUGUCGCUCUAUUUAAGUUCAUCUCAAUCCGAUAAUAGAUUUAGAUUAAUAAAGGCGAGGAAAUCUAUGCACUCUCCAUGUGGAGAAAAGCAAAAAAAGAAAAGGAUAAACAAAUUGAUUCCGGGGGAAUAGAGAAGAGGUAAAGUUAACUGACAAGUGGAAUGCGUUUCAUCAUAAGAUGCAACUCAGAUGGAUAAGUAAGUGGAAAGUGUUGGGUUAAAACUUAAAAAGCAUUUAACGAAGGCCAUUAAACAUUAAAAAAAAUAAGUAAAGGAUGCUAAAAGAAGAAACAGAGGACCCUCCAACCUACUAAAAGUGGAAUAUGAUGCAGAUUGGCUUUCUCUUAAUAGAGUACAAUUACUUUGCAUCGUUCGUUUUUAAUACUCAUUAAAAAAUUUCAAAUGGUUCUAAGGAAUCUUGUGGAAGCUGAAAGCCACUAAUCCAUUAAGUGGGGAGGAGGCAUUAUCCCAGCAAAAAAGGAUCUAAAUGUGGAAAGUGUACAAUAUUUGUCAUUUUCCAUUAUAUUCCUUUUGAAAGUGGAAUUCUUGGACCACUGGUAGCAUUUAGUUGAACUAGUAAUUUUUUAUUAAGAUAUUAUAGUACACAUUAAAAGAUUUAUUAAAUAUGUACAAAUAUUAAAUUUCGAACUCAACAACUCAAAUAGUCCUUGAGUUUAGCGGCAUUUCGUACCAUAAAUUUCAAAUAUUUGCUUCCUCUUGUUUGAAUUAAGUUCACGUAACUAUUUUGAUUACUGCCUUUGGACAAAUACUUCAAAUUACCAUCGACAAUGACAUUGUGGUUAUUAUUCUAGUUGCUUUGGUUUCAGAGGCAAGAAAAUGAUACUUGACUACGACUAAAUAAUUGGUAAUGGUCAAGAUCUACAAAUCCGCGAAACAACUAUGAGAACAUGACAACAUGUUACCUUUUCAAAUGAAUUACUACAAGUUUCAAUUAUUAUGCACUUAAAGCAAAAGAACAAACCGAAUAAUAUGACUCCUUUCUAUCUUUGAUUUUUCUUCCAUAAUCGCUAGCAGUACAGUCUCCGUUAAAAAUUAAGACAUUAUCGAUAUUGACCUUAAAUGUCGGAGGUGUGCUAAUAUUGACAAGGUAAUAAGCUACUGAAUCAUCAUAUGACAAGUUGCUGCAUUAGCAAGUAAUAAGCACCUGCGUCAGAUAUAGUUGAUACUUUCGUUAUCGGUAGCCAAAAUAAUACUGUAUCCGUAGAUCUCGAGCAAAUUCUAUCUUUGCUCUAUUAUCCAACUAUUAUGUGCUCGUUUUCUCUCUUUUAACCAAAUCUUCUUUGCCAAGUAUGUCGGAAUAGUAAAGGAAAAAUUGUAAAACAAAUAUUAUAAAUAGAAACUUUUACACUUACAAAAGAAAGCCUCGGUGGACGUGCCGGAGUGGUUAUCGGGCAUGACUAGAAAUCAUGUGGGCUCUGCCCGCGCAGGUUCGAAUCCUGCCGUCCACGUUUUUUUCUUUUUUAUUCUUUUCCUUCCCAAUUACCAUUCUUUGUGCCAGCAUUCCCAUUCCACAAAGAACUGCCACUUUGCUAGUUAUGGUUUUGGUUUCCACAAUGAACAACAACAACUCCUAUGGUUCAAAUAAGGUACAAACAAUCAUCGUUGUUGAUAUUUACACUAAAGCAACAAUGCAAGACCAUUUCACAAAUUCAACAAGUCCAUGCUCAAGCCAUUACCAAUGACCACCUCUCUUCUUUUCACUCUACUCUUAUCCUCACUCAAAUCCUUCAUUCUUUCACUUCCCUUCUCUCUUCUCUUCCUUUACAACCCAACACACAUCACUAUGCCACUCGUUAUUUCACCUCCAUUUUCAGCCGCAUUGAAAACCCAUCAACUUUCUGUUACAAUACUAUCAUUCGAGCCCACACCCUUCUCUUUUCCCCAAAUACCUCUUUUUUAUAUUUCCUCAAAAUGCACCGAAAUUCGGUCCCACCAGAUUCCCAUACUUUCCCUUUUGUUCUCAAAGCUUGUGCUUUACUGAAUUCUCUGUCCCUAGGCAAGACCCUUCAUUCUCAAGCCUUGAAAUUUGGGUUUUUAGCUGACGUUUUCGUGUGUAAUAAUCUUGUUCGUGUGUAUACCGUCAGUGGUAAUACUAGUGACGCCCAUAAGGUGUUUGAUGAAAGUUGUUGUAGAGAUGUUGUUACUUAUAAUUUAAUCAUUGAUGGGUAUGUUAAAGCGGGUGAGAUGGACAAAGCGAGGGUAGUGUUCGACGAAAUGCCUGAAAGAGAUGCAGUUUCUUGGGGCACCCUUUUGGCUGGAUAUGCAAAAUUGAACCAGUGUAAAGAGGCUAUUGAGCUGUUCGAUCAAAUGGUUUCGCUAAAUGUAAAAUUUGAUAACGUUGCGUUGGUUUCUGUUCUCUCAGCUUGUGCACAACUGGGGGAACUAGAAAAGGGAAAGACCAUACAUGAUUAUAUUAAAAAGAAGGGGAUUCACAUAGAUUCAUAUUUGUGUACUGGAUUGGUAGAUCUAUAUGCCAAAUGCGGCUGCAUUGAGAUUGCUAGGGAGAUAUUUGAGACAAGUUGGGAGAAGAAAAUGUUUACAUGGAAUGCUAUGCUAGUUGGAUUAGCCAUGCAUGGUCAUGGCCAGUUAUUGUUUGAUUACUUCUCAAGAAUGGUGGAAGGUGGUGUUAGGCCUGAUGGGGUAACGUUUUUGGCACUGUUGGUAGGAUGUAAUCAUGCAGGUCUUGUUCAGGAAGCUAGAAGGUUCUUUGGAGAAAUGGAAGAGGUUUAUGGUGUUCGUCGAGAACUAAAACAUUAUGGGUGUAUGGCGGAUUUGCUGGCACGUGCAGGGUUGAUUAAAGAAGCUAUGGAGAUGAUAGAGGCAAUGCCAAUGGCUGGUGAUGUGUUUGUGUGGGGUGGUUUGCUUGGUGGGUGUAGGAUACAUGGGCACGUUGAGCUUGCUGUUAAAGCUGCUGAAAAUGUGAUGGAGGUGAAACCGGAAGAUGGUGGGGUUUAUUCAAUCUUGGCAAAUGUGUUUGCAGAUGCUGGCCGUUGGGAUGACUUGGUCAAUGUAAGGAGAAGAAGAGAUUGUGCACAGAUCAAGAAGAGUGCUGGUUGUAGUUUGAUUCAGUUGAAUGGGAUGAUACAUGAAUUUAUUUCAUGGGAUGACUUGCAUCCUCAAAGCAACGAGAUAUAUUCUGUCUUAAAUUGUCUGCAACUCAAUUUGAAGCAUUCUAUAGCCAGUAGAUUUUGAUGAACUAACAAUACAUUCUUUUCACUGAUACUACUAUACUACUGUCAUUUGACUAGUAAAAUAGUUCUUAAAGUAACAUCUCAACUGUGUUUUUUUUUCCUUGACUACACAAACUUCGUCUGUUAUAAACAAUUCUUACAUAGCAUUUCUCUUCCAAGAGCUACUGAAGGCAAUACCGCUGGGUUAUGCUUUAUUGCAUAAUUGUAUGAAUAAUUUGUAUUCAUCCUUCCCCCUCAGCCUAACGCAUAGUGACACAAAUUCUCUUCGAGCAAAUGAGCAGCCAUUACCAAGCCAUCAUACUAGUUUACUCCCACCUGCCAAAGAAACAAUGAACUGCAAUUGCCAUUAGCAUAAAACCUUUAGUAAUAAUGAAAAAACAGAUAAUUGGAUCCAGUUUACUACUUCUCUUCAAAGUAACUUUUAUGUUCUUUUAGUUAGUCAAUACUUCACACAAAAGCUCAUAAUCAGCAAAAUUGCAAAAUAUAAUAUGCAAACUGAUUGUGGCCAUUUCAGGAAGUAAAAUCUAAUUACCCGCGACAUCGUUCAAGAGAUAUUUCAGCUUAAAAGAAGAUUAAACACGUCUCUCAAUGUGAUUAUGCCUUUUACAUGCCGGGUAUUGGGAUCAAUGACCACAAUGCGCCUUGUGACUGAAACAAAAAGAGAGGGCACUCAAAUUACAAGAUAAUGAGGUCACAAAGAGAAGAAAAAGAAAAAAAAGAGGUACAAACUUGGAUCUGAAAGGAGCUCCAUUAUCUUAUACAAUGAAUCAAAACGUGUGCAUGUCCUACAACGAUCACAAGAUGCUUCAUCUAAGACCUCCAGGACCUGUGCUCAAAAAUUAGUGCAUUAUAUGCAGAAAAAGUAGAAAAAACCUUAGGUAACAACAGGAUUACAACUUCAACAAAUUACACGCUACGGGGAUUUAUGCACACAGUGAUAGAAUGCCCUCAUGCCCUAAAAGGUUCAUCAACAAUGCCAGACUGUUUACCAAAAAGAUUUCUCAGUACUUUUACCCAUAAUAUCUCGAGUUAAUCAAGAUGAAAGCGUUCCAAGAAGAGAGCAAAAACUAAAUGGUAACUAAUAAGUUUAAGCAGCUUCAUAUGACCAUACAAGUAUGACGCUCCAUUUAAGCCUUCACAGAGUAAUUUUGUAUGCCAAAAACUAACUAGUCGAGAAAAAUGUUUUAAAAGACAAAUUCACCAACUUUUGUAGCCCAUAGAGUUCUUUUGCAUACUAGCACCUUGCUUAUAUUAGCAAGCAUGAUAAUCUUGAGGAGACGAGGGACGGUGGUUUGAAAUGCACUUACUUGAGCCAUUAUCAUCUGGUCAAGCCGAAAGCGAGCAUACACAUUGCUUCUCGCCAAAGAGGUAACAUCACUAUGUAAAGACAGCAAAAUCUCAAGUUUGUAAGGCUUAAAAUAACAAAGCAACUUCAAUGAUGCUGAAAAUGAAAAAUUUCAAGCAUUUACCAUCAGAAGCGCAUGAAUUACCUCCGAGAGUACACAUUUAUAAGGGCUCCAUUAUCAUCAAGGAUAGGUAUUGAACUUAUCUGACCUGUCAGAGCAAGAGAAAGACGUGCUUAGUACACGUCUUAGUUAAACAAUUUUGUUCUACUCAUAUAAUAUUGUGAACCUUCUAUUAGUAAUUUAAGAGCAGAACUAAGGGGAUCUCUGCUGUAUAAUGUUAACAAAUCACGGCUGCUUGCCCUUCCACCAACUUCUCUUGCCCAUGUACCUAAUGGAAGAUUACCCACUGGUUGCUGCAGAAGAGGCAGAUACUCAAGAGAGUGCCUAAAAUGCCUGCAUAUGUCUAAGAUUUUCCAAGGAAGAGAAAUAAAACCAAACAUAAGCCUUUGCAAAAAACAUUAUGAGGAAAAAAACUGCAGAAUUGGAAAGCAAAUUAUAGAGAAAACGCACGCUUUGAUAUUCCUGCAAGGCAUGCAGUAUGCAACAACUGCACACAUGACUCGUCUUCUGGUGAAUGUAAAAGUGGAACUGCAGAGAUCUUAUUGUGUAAUAAUAAUAGGGCCACAUCUUUCAGUGAGUCAUCAGGUCCAGCCUGUGAUUGAAGAGAAAAUAGGAGGAAUGAAUAGAAAGAAUAAGAUUCUAGAUAAAAGCUACUCUGAGAGAAAAGAAAGAAAAAUUUCUCAUGGUUAGAUAACCUGCAAAUACGUAAUNNNNNNNNNNNNNNNNNNNNNNNNNNNNNNNNNNNNNNNNNNNNNNNNNNNNNNNNNNNNNNNNNNNNNNNNNNNNNNNNNNNNNNNNNNNNNNNNNNNNNNNNNNNNNNNNNNNNNNNNNNNNNNNNNNNNNNNNNNNNNNNNNNNNNNNNNNNNNNNNNNNNNNNNNNNNNNNNNNNNNNNNNNNNNNNNNNNNNNNNNNNNNNNNNNNNNNNNNNNNNNNNNNNNNNNNNNNNNNNNNNNNNNNNNNNNNNNNNNNNNNNNNNNNNNNNNNNNNNNNNNNNNNNNNNNNNNNNNNNNNNNNNNNNNNNNNNNNNNNNNNNNNNNNNNNNNNNNNNNNNNNNNNNNNNNNNNNNNNNNNNNNNNNNNNNNNNNNNNNNNNNNNNNNNNNNNNNNNNNNNNNNNNNNNNNNNNNNNNNNNNNNNNNNNNNNNNNNNNNNNNNNNNNNNNNNNNNNNNNNNNNNNNNNNNNNNNNNNNNNNNNNNNNNNNNNNNNNNNNNNNNNNNNNNNNNNNNNNNNNNNNNNNNNNNNNNNNNNNNNNNNNNNNNNNNNNNNNNNNNNNNNNNNNNNNNNNNNNNNNNNNNNNNNNNNNNNNNNNNNNNNNNNNNNNNNNNNNNNNNNNNNNNNNNNNNNNNNNNNNNNNNNNNNNNNNNNNNNNNNNNNNNNNNNNNNNNNNNNNNNNNCCGCCCCCCCCCCCCCCCCCCCCCACAAACCCCAACCCCAAGCCAAAAAAAGAAAACCCGUACCUCCAGGGAGAGACAUGUCAAACAAAAGCAAAAACCAUGUUAUUCCAUAUAACAAUUAGAAGAGCCAAGAAUAGUUUGUGAAUACUCCACUAAGCAUAAAAUUACAUACUUGCAGUAACACCCUUCUGUUUGGAGGUAUCAUAGGCCCUGACACUUCUGCAUGCAGUUGGAAUUUUUCGUAUUUCCAAGCUGAAACAGUGUGCCUUUCAAGCUCAUCGUUGCUCAGCAUUGAAUGACUUCCAUGGAGCUGCAAAAAGUAGUUUACCUUGGGCAUGAUAUAUAGGAAUGAAGCAUAGAUGAAACAUGACGACAAUGCACUAGUUAUAUACAAAUCUAAUAGUAGUAAUAAAAUUUAUCAUUAAUGAUCAAAAGACAGCCUCGAAGGCAUCCAAUAGGAGAAUUCAACCGCAUAAAAAUAUACAUAGUAGAUGGAAUUCAGAAGAAAGGCACUAUCUUCUUGUGAUUAAACCUUACUAUAUCAAUUCUCCCCAUAAAAUACAAUGCAAGGAACAUUCAUCUGCAGGUUUAUGAUCCUCAAUUGAACAUAGAAAAGUCACUUAUUUCAAAUAUAAAUGAAAAAUCGCUCAAACGACAUAGGAUUCACUCUUCACUAUUUGCUGCAUUAGAAAGACCAAAUGCUUUGACAUAAGGUGGACGGGGGUAUUCCUCCAUGGACAAGCAACUUAUUAGCCAUAUAGAAAUGGAGUUUCUGAGUUAUUACUAAAAACAUGGAUUUUGAUUAUUAAGAUAAUGAGAAACCAAGCCAGAAAAUCUUCCUCAAGAAAAUAUUAUUCUCCAGCUCAUUUUCAGCACUUAAAUUCAAAGCUAAAAAAGGUUCAAAACUCAGUGGACAAUGGACCCGUCCCUCUACCCUUCUCCACUUAAAGACCAGGCUUUUGUCUACCGCAACAUUCAAACUGGUGACAUGUGCCUAACUCACACAUCUUGUGCUCCACUCUAACUAUUAUAUCAAAGCCCUAGGGCCUCAAAAAUAUUUGGAAAAAUAAAAAAUUUAAAACCAGUUGCCAGUUGUGCUUAACAACUACUAAAUAGUACCUUCAACAAUAUCAAAAUGAAAUCAGAAGCAGUAAGCAUUCCCGAUAUCUUUGCAUUCCGCUCAUCCCAAAGAGGCAUCACAGCAAGUCCCUAAACAUAUGCUCAACUAGUGAACUUCAAAAUAUAUUCCAAGCAUAAAACAAAAAUCAACAUGUAAAUUGAAUGGAGAAAAAUAGUGUACAACAAAACAUUAAAGACAUAGUAAGAUUGCAUGAACUAUUACCGGAAACUAGAAUUUUUCAACCAUCACAGUUGCAUUGAUGCCCAACCUAUAUCCAGGGAAGAGCCAUACUUUUGGCAGGAUUCACCUGCACUGAAUAAUGUUUUUCCUAUCCUAUGUUUUCUUCAAUGAAACCAACCCAAGAAAUAGAUUUUCUAAAGCACUGCAGAUUAAAGGAAAGACACUCUCUUCCCCAUCACAGAGAAAGUUGACAAAUUAAUAUUACACAGCUAUAUUCCACAACCUAAAAUAUAGGAACAUCUGAAACAUAAAUGGAUAAGGUGCCAUACUAUAGAUCUUCCUACCCUGUACACGAAGAAGGUCUCCACAAGUCACUUUUUGGAAUAGGCCAUAUAAGCAAGAAUCCAAAGGGUAAAACAAAGUGGUUUCAUGUAAUAGAAACAACUAUGCUUCUUUCGCAAACUAGUCGGGUCGUCUAUAUUAAUUCUCAAUAUCCAUUAUGUUCUGUUUGGACCCAUUCCCAAUACUCAAUAAUUUAUCAUUUAAGGAAAACUAGUGUUCACUAGCUGAAGAGGUUCUCUGUAUUUUCUAUUACAUACAAAUCUCUAAAAACUAAAAGGACUCGUGGAAAACACCAAACAAUAGUGUAAAUGUGGAAACACGACAAAGUCUUAACCCCAACUAGUCUAUAUAGAGUAUAUGGAUCUUCUUAUUUCCAUAAUGUUAUGUUCUUCACCAAGUCCACAUAGAUUCUGGAAAAUUGAAUGACUUUGAGACAAUAUCCCUCCAUGUAAUUCUAGGUCAAUUUUAUAUGUCCCAACAGUCAGGUUUGGUCCUUCAGGCAGCAACUCCCGCUGGUAUACAAUCCACAAAGGAAAUUGGGCUACGAGGUGAGUAACUAUAUCCGACUAUUAUUUGCCGAUCCAUGCAAUUCAAUAACAAAUAACAAAGCAAAAUGAUAGAUUCAUCUCAGAUGGCAAACCAUUCCGAAAUCAAGAAUAAACUAGUCUUAAUAAAGUGCAGACAUUUUGGUUGUAGAUUUAUUAAUCAAGUCCAUAAUUGAAAUGUAUAAUUUGGAUAUUUACUCGAGUUAACUCAUAUGCAAAUCUCCAAGACAAAUUACAACUUCCAGAAUUUGCUUGAGCACUUAUUAGCUACAACCUUGAGCUUGAGGACAAAGGUGUCUGUGACACCCAAGAGGAACCAAGAAGAUGGUCAAUAGUGUGCAUAGAAAACCGAACCUGUUCAUACAUGAUAUGAAAAGCCUGUUUAACAGCCACUUCAGAAUCUAAUGCAAAGACCUAUGAAGAAUCACCAGAUAGGUAGUCAGUAAAUUUAAAUAGAGAUAUUAUUAAGUAAUGGCACAAUACAAGGGGAAAGCAUAGAUAAAGACUUCCAAACCUUUCCUGAAUUUGGAAUCAGCCCAUCUGCUCGGGAAGAUGACAACAACAUGAAUAGACGACGGCGGGAAACAUCUAUUUCAUUGGCUGACAACUGCAUGACUGGUUCAAGCUGUAGUCCACGUGAAGAUGAAGCCUGGUUGGUAUGACAAAGAAAUUAUACGGAAUUAAAAUGUUAAGGAAAGUGGUUGGAUGAAAUCAUUAUGAGUCGUUGUCAGAAUGAGGGACGGAAAAGGAAACUGAGGUAUGGUCUUUAACCAUAUCAAGUAAGAAAUUCUUUUCUGGUCAGCACUGACCUCAAGAUGCAUGCUUCUAGCAAAACCCGAGACCAACUUCGACUGAGUAUCCUCUCUUAGUAAGGCAGAAGGUGUGGAAUCUGAUUCCUUAACAAAUAUUAAGUUAUUGAUUGCACCAUAUUCAUCCUGAACACAAAGCUGUUCCUGGUCGACUUGCCAGGUUCCAUCAAUCAAGAAUUUGUACUGCAUAGUUCAUUUGGAGCCAGUAAAUUCAACUCCAUACAAAAUGUGCACUUUCCUUUAUUUUAAGCAGGUGUUACUGUGCAUGUGUAACAUAUCAGUAACAGCUAUAAUAUGUAAAACUUUACGAUACUCCAUAUCUUGUGAAGAGGUAACAUUUGCUAAUGGUUAACUUGUUAAGAAAGCAAGGAUGUUCCUGAAAAUCAAAUUAUUUACCAGAAUAGCCAUAUUAGACACAAAAUAGGAUCAGUUUACACAACAGCCAAAGCAUCAAAAGCGAAAAAUACCGUAAUCCUAGGGAACUAGACACGAAAAAUCAUUAUCAAGAGAAAAACAUGUGCCUGUACAGUAAUACUAAAUCUGGGAAAUAUAUUUACAUGCCUAAGUAUUUGCAGAUACUUAGACGCUAAUAAGCAUAUCGAUGCAUCUUCUUAGAGGCAGUUAAAGUGCAGAAACACAAAAAGUGUACAGGGACUUAGACGGUAAGAUGGAUCACAGUGAGCAAUAGCAUAUCUCCCGGAGUAUUCCCUCAAUCUCAAUUUAGUUAACUAACUUUGAGUUAUAAUCCCUCCAAUUCAUAUGACCAACCCAGGUUAUCUAUUUCUUUACUUUAUCAAAACUUCUAGCUCUGUGAACUUGGUAAGACCCUUGCAGAUAUUCUGUAUGAAAAAGAUGAAACUAUUUUUCGCAUACAGCACCUAAGACAAAAUUGACAUCGAGCAGCCUUUUCUUUUGAUUUUAGGUCUACUUGGUACAAAUUCAUUAGCUCGUUACACAAUCAUCACAUAGAAUCUAGGGAAUACCUGAUGAUAACCUGGUGGAAGAUCAAUGAUCCUCUGAAAAACGGCGGCCGAACCCUCCACCAAAUUCAUCAGUAGCUGAUCAGUCCAGCUGCACCACCCGAAAUCACAGGCACUUAGGCCAUAUAAAAAGCAUGUAACAUGCACUUUGUUGAAUCAUAAAAUAAGGGGUUUAAAAAAAAAAAGAGUAGUUGUUAAUGAGAAAUUAAAAGUACCCAUUGAAGGAACCAUAGAGGAAAACUUGACUACCACCAUAUCGCCAUGUAAAAGUUAUUAGUACCAUUUCCUCUUCAGACCCAAAACUUCCCUUUUGUAAUUUCGUAUAUAUACAUGGUUUUACGGAAAGACACAAUCAGCAAAUCAGACAGAAAAAAUCAGUGGAAAUUCCAGAGAAAAGAGGGGAAAUGGGCAAGCAAAGAGCAUCGGUAUACCCGAAUGACAAGAAGCCAGCGAAGAGCGGAAAUUAUAUUUAAAGAAAAAUGACUAGAGUAAGCAAAGAGUGGAAAAUGAAAAUGUAACAAUGUAUACGACAUGGAAAUACUACUAUGAUGUUUGUGUAUUUAAUAUUUGAAAUAGUUGCAGAGGCUUUCUAUUGGUUUCUAUUUCUUUUCCUUUUUCAACGUUUUUUACGUUUUGUCAUUUAGGUUGUUUGGCUUUAUAUAGCAAGAAUGACAUUUGCAUUUAGUUUCUCUUUCAUAUUUCCUGUGUUUGUCUUUUGAGGUGUAUGGUCUCCAGAAAUAAGUCAUAAUUAAUUUUAAAAUUAAAUUUGAUAUAAAUUUAUCUUACGUUUGAUUAGGAUAAAAUUAUAAUAUAACUAUUGAGAUUGUAGUAUUAUUUUUAUCCUUAUGGGAAGGUGGGAUAACUGAUUUCCCAAUCAAACGACCCUAAGAUGGUGUGUGAAAAUUAUGUUCAGUCUUGAUGAAAUAUAUUUCCUAUGAACUUCAAACAUAGAUGUCUAUUUGUUUCUAUAUGAUAUAUAAGUAUAAUAUACUCCAUUAUUCUUACUUUUCCACAAAUCAGAUACUAUGUGUUCGAGUUUACAGAACGGAUAAAAGUGAUUGUCUUAACUGUCUCUACCUCAAACAAGUCGCUAAAAGAAAGACUAGUUUGUCACAUAACAUAUAACCACUAAUAUUUAGGAGUUCUAAUUUUAAUGCAUUAACAAUGUGUUUAUCCGAAAAACGGAUAGAGUUAAAUUUAUACGUAGUUUUAAGGAUACGCGGUAUAACUCGACACAAAUUAAAAAAAUAAGUAGGGAUAUAUUGAAUAUUGACUGUAAAAAGGAAUGAAUACAAACCCUAAUUGAGUAGAGAAUGAUUGAUAAAUGAACAAGAUGAAUCAAUAUCAAAAGCCCAAAAAAGGAUAAUAUUUGCUAUGUGUUAUGUAAAUCUCUAUAAUCUCUGAAUGUGAGAAUGUGUGAAUGUAUAUCAAUCUCCUCUUUUACAAAUGUUAGUCACUCCUAAUAUAGUGGAGGAAUCCUACUUUGGAUAUAAUUAAAAAUAUAUAGUGGGGAUCCCAUGAUAGAUUAAUUAAUUGACUUUUUCUUGAUUCAAGCCGUGAUUUCAGCCGAGAUUUUCUCCCCAAAUGCGGCUAUAACGGCUUUGUUGUUCCUUGGCUCGGUCUCGAUCUUGGUCGGUCUCUGGGUCUCGAGCUCGAUCUUGACUUGAUCUCGGUAUUUGAUCGGUCUCUGGAUCUCAAGCUCGACCUUGACUCGAUCUCGAUAUUUGAUCGGUCUUUGGGUCUCGAGCUCGACCUUCCAACUUCACAUCACAGCUCGAUAUUAUAAUGACGAACCUCGGUCCGUCAUGCUCCAAUCUGGAUUAGUCGUACGAAAGGCAAACUCGGUUUUGACUGUAUACAGAUAGUCCCCUCGUUUCUCGGAAAGAAGGUGGCGAGAAACGAUAUGAUAUUUCAACCUCUGACUAGAUACAUACUGACGUCUACGACGAGCCCGAUUGUGACGUAUGUGACAAAUGUCACGUCGGUCCAGUUACUAAGGCAUUAAAUGUGCGUCAGUCGAUGGUCGGCCAAUGUCAAUUUUGAAUCGUCACUGUGAAAUUUAUAAAUAGCCCUCUUAUUCAUUAUUUCAAACUUUUACCUUCAAAUCUCUUUCCAUUCCAAUCUUCAAAGUUCUUCGCCUUCCCCAAAGCUCUCUAUUUUCAAGUUUUGCAAUUUUUUCGCUUGUUCUUCUCAAAACACCAAAUACUUCACUCUUCCUUCUUUUUUGUUCAUAAAAAUUUAGAUGGCAAAAAUAUCUAAAAUUAUUCCGCAGAAAGAGGUUGCUUCCUCAUCUCGGCCGGCCGGCGAGAAAUAGUGGUGGAGCCACGCCUUGAAGAGCUUUUUCCCGGGGGGUGCGUUAUUGAUUCUAAUUUUAAGGUCGAGAAACCCUCGUCGGUUACUGGUCGAUGCGAGCCAGUAUCGAGAUAUAUAUGCUCGAUACCAAAAAGCCUUCUUGACCUGGUGAAAAAAGACUGUCAUUGGGAAAAUAAAGAGGUUGUGAUACCGGCACCGGAGGAGGCGAUCACUACCCACGUGGAAGGGUACCUGAGUGUUUACACUUAUCCUUUCACGCUGGGUCCCCUCGAUUCAGUCACCGUCGAUUUUUGCAAGAAAUACCAGGUGACCCUCCGUCAAAUUCACCCUUCUUACUGGAGGAUUGUGAUACUGCUUCGUUUUUUUAUGAGAAAAUCGAUGAGCUUCCCUUCACCUGCGACCACCUCGUAAGAUUAUAUAACCCUUGACUUUACCGAGGUGGGCUGAUAAAGCUUCAAUGCCGGGCCACCAAGGCGUUCGCCUCGAGCAUAGAUGAAGACAAAGAUCGAUGUUGGAUGGGCCGGUUCGUUCGAGUGAAGAUCUCAGACCUAAUCCCGGCUGAGAGUAUGCCAUUUUCCGAGAAAUGGAAUAUGAACCGUAAGUGUGAUCCCGUUUUUAAGUUUUGUUGUUUUACUUCUUCAUCCUUCAUUAUCAAUAUUUUUCUUGACGCAACCGUUUCUUGGAUGCCGGGUGCGGUUCCCUAUCUCGAGAACUAGGUCAGGAGCCUGGUUUCGACGUCAACAUACGCCGAGCGCACAUGGCGAGAUUUGUCAAAGGGCAGGUGGGAGGCUCGUACUCAUGGUAAACCUUCUUCUUGGCUCAUCGAUUUUCUUACUGUUCAAGCAUUUUUUUCAGGCAUAAGUUUUACUUACUUUUCUUUCUUUGUAGGUCUCGAAAAAGAUGCGGUUAUGAGACCCCCAUUAGGUGAUGAAGAAGCUUUACCGCCUAUCUCAAAACCGGAGAAGGUGAUUAAGAGAAAAAAGGCCUCGGACUCCGAGGGUCAAAAACCCAAGAAGAGAGCAGCUCGUAAACCCAAGGUGAACAUAAUCCCUUUGAAUAUGGAAUCGGUCCUGAGUCUAAGGGAUGAAGAAGAAGAAGAAAGUGAUUUCGGGCUGGUGGCCCUGCACGGUCUGGCCUCGAUAUUCAAAAUACUUCGGUAUCGGUGGGAGUUGAUACUGCUCCGUCCAGGCUUGAUGAGGUCGAGGAGGAGACUUUGACCCAAGUUCCCAAGCCGAGGGGGACCGAGGAUAUUUUACCUCGAGGCAAAGAGACCGUCGAAGAAACUGUGGAUGCCGGUGUGCAAACCGAGCUUGAGGCUCCCCAAGACGGAGGCGACGCCCAAAAAUACCUACUCGGGACAAUAGAGAUUGGGAAUUCCCCCUCUUUCCCUUCAUUUUCCCAGUCGAUGAUACAUGAUGCUCAAGCUGUGGAGACUUGUCACGGAGAAGGAGCCCAUAGAGAGGAGGACCCUUUCCGUGGUUAUUUUAUCGGGGUAGAAGAUGUCACCGGUCCGAGUGACUUGGAGGCUCCGAAGAAGAGCUCGAGCGAGGUAGGAGUGCCUUGCCUUUUCAACAAAGCCCAACAGGCCCUGAAUCGGGUAAGUUCAUACUUUCUUUGCCAAUUUUCAUACUUGUGUUUUCUUUCCUUGUAUAAUCCCUUCUUUUUAUUUUUGUAGGCUUUUGUGUUUCAUCACGAGGCAUUUUUCCAAUCCCGAAGGGAGCUGAGCCAGUACGAAGCUGAAGUUCGAAGGCUUACUGAGGAGAGAGAUGCCUUCAAGCUUCUCAGUGAGUAGAGAGAAAGAGAAGUAAAAGGACUCCGGGCUGAGCUAGAAGCAUCUCGAAAAGAACAAGCUGAGCUGGCCUUCGCAGGUAAAAAGAAUCUUUGAAUUUAAUGAUAUUGACUCAAGAGUGAUGGCUAACAGUUCGGUCCCGCAGGUCGAGCAAAAGUUCGAUGUGAUCAGGCAGCUUCGUGUUGAAGUGGACGUAGUGAAAUCGGAGGUCGAGGAACGGAAGAAGAACAUGGGCUGCCUCGCCUCAGAAAAGGAGACUGCCCCAACUCAACUGGCUUCGGCUGAGGCCCAACUCCGAAGCUUGAAAGAGAAAGCCUUGGUGCAAGCCAAGAAAAUCGAAGUUCCAGUCUCGGUUGAGCUCAACAAAUUCUAAUCGAGAGAGACCGGCCAUAGAACUUGCAGCAGCCAAAUCGGAGGUCGAGAAAACCAUGGCCAAUACUGAUGCAAUGGUGUCCGUUUAUCGAUCUGAUGCCGAAGUUGCUUAGGUUCGAGCAAAGGAGGUUGCUGAGGCUGCUCAGGCUCAAGCAAACUGGGUUGCCGAGCAUGCUAAAUGCCAGUCUUGAAGGGAGACUCUCGAAGAGAUCCAUGCUCGCGGCUUUGAUCUUACAGCCGAGAUCGAGAAAACUAAGGAGCUUGAAGCCGAAACCAGAGUGUUGGCCUUUCCCGAUGAUGAUGAUACCGGGAGUACGAGCGGAUCUGAAAGUGAAGGGGGCCUCGAGGGUGAAGAUGCUGCUCCCGGAGAGGACUAAGUCCUUUAGUAUUUUUUGUGUUUCUUAUAAGACAGUUUUGGUCUUUUGUAGAGAAAUUUUAUCGGGCCAUGCUGCCCUUGUAAAUGAUUUUUGACAUGUAUAAAAAAAACUUUCUUCAUUUCUGCCUUAUAAGAUUGUGAAGUUGUAUUCUAUUGUCGGGGUUCAGAUAAUUUGACCAAAACCGAACUAGUGUAACCCUUAGACCUUUUGAUCGAGUGAGUACUUGCUCGAACUCGAAGUAAAGUAAUCCUUGGUUUUUUAGUUGAGCGAGGACGGUCUCUCGAACUCAAAGCAGAAAACAACCCUUAGGUUUUAUGAUUGAGUGAGUGUUUGCUCGAACUCGAAGUAAAAAACAAACUUUAGGCUUUAUGGUCGAGAGAGUGUUUGCUCGAACUCGAGUAAAAAGCAGCCCUCAGGCCUUAUGGUCGAGUGAGUGUUUUCUUGAACCCAAAGUAAAAAAAUAGUCCUUAGGCCUUACGGUCAAGUGAGUGUUUGCUCGAACUCAAAGUAAAAAAUAGCCCUUAGGCCUUAUGGUCGAGUGAGUUUUUGCUCGAAUUCAAAGUAAAAAACAGCCCUUAGGCCUUAUGGUCGAGUGAGUGUUUGCUCGAACUCGAAGUAAAGUAACCCUUAGGUUUUUGUAAAAAGGAUUGUUUAUGGCCUUGUCCCCUUUCCGUCUUAAACGAGUUUCUUAUCAUUCGUAUUUGCGAAACUUGUAAUGCCUUAGCAUGAAAUAGGGACUUAUUCGAGAGUUCGAACAAUUUUUGUACUCAUUAGAGUUUUCGAGGCUUGAUAUUAUCGAAGCCUUUUAUGAUUUUUCUGGGGGAUAGCCUUUCUGACCCUGUUAUGUAACGGAAUUCGGAUGUCUCCGAUUCGUGUUAAUUCAGCCGUAGCCUCUUUAGUCCGAGAUUUGCGUCUUGAGCUUAUUUUCCCGUUUUACUUCAAGCUUGCCCAAAGUAUCAGUCCCCGAAUGGGGUGGCGUGGCUUAUAAAAAUCCUUAUUUAGUUCGGGAUUUGCUUCUUAGGCUUAUAAUCUUCGGAGUUUAUAUAAUUUGAUCUCGUCGGUUUUUUGGACGGCAGUCCCCGAUUUGUGGGGUUAAUCAUUCGAACUCCGAUCAUGGUCGGCCCUUAAGCUGUUUGCAUAACACAAGUAGAAGAACCUUUCUAAGGUAUGAGAUAUCGGUAAAGAAGGAAUUUCUCUUUAUACAUCAUUAUACAUGCGUACAUGUUUUGAGUCAGGGCUCGAGCAAACUAUGCGGGCAUGGUUCGUUUUGACCAUUUGUCCCUUACAAAUUUUUCCUAUCGAGACCCUAUUGCCAUAAAGUAAUUUCCUUGCAUCGAACUUGAUAUAUUCUAGGGCAAUGCCCCCCAGUAAGUGCAACGCGUGCUUUCAGAUCUAAAGGCUUCGUGUUGAAGAAUCCAUCCCUAUUUCUGAUCGAACACCUACAAGGGUUAGUUUCGAAAUACAAAUGAACAUGGGAGGGUCGUACCUUAGUAGUAGUAUCGUUUUAGGUAUGAUACGUUCCAAUUGCUCGGUAGUCAUUUGCCGUUUAUCAUACCGAGCUUGUAGGAUUCUUUUCUGACGAUUCCGAGAACCUGAUACAGUCCUUCCCAGUUCGGACACAGUUUCCCUUCAUUCGGAUUUCGAGUGUUGGGGGUGACUUUUCUUAGCACCAAAUCCCCGAUUUUAAAUGUCGAAGAUUGGUUCUUCGAUUGUAGUACCACUCAAUUCGCUGUUUUUGGGCUGCCAGUCGGACGAGAGCGGCUUCUUAUCUUUCGUCCAACAAUUCUAGGCUAGUACUCAUGGUCUAGUUAUUCGACUCCUCUGUUGCAUAUCGAAACCUGAUGCUAGGUUCUCCGACCUUGGCCGGGAUCAGGGCUUCGACGCCAUAAACCAACGAGAAUGGUGUUGCUCCUGUACUGGAUUUCGAUGUUAUGCGGUAUGCCCAUAGGACCUCGGGUAGUAUUUCUCUCCAUUUUUAUUUGGCGUCGGUCAAUCUCUUCUUAAAAUUUUGGAUUAUGGUUUUGUUGGUCGAUUCGGCUUGUCCGUUCCCGCUGGGAUGAUACGGUGUUGAUAUGAUCCUUUUGAUCUUGUGAUCCUCGAGAAAUUUAGUUAUUUUGCUGUCGAUGAAUUAUUUUCCAUUAUCACAUACAAUCUCGGAUGGCAUCUCGAAUCGACAUAUGAUGUGGUCCCAAAUAAAGUCUAUCACUUCUUUUUCUCUGACUUUCUCGAAAGCCUNNNNNNNNNNNNNNNNNNNNNNNNNGUUGAUAAAUCAUGGGCGCAUGUCUUUGGCAUUUGUAGCAUUUUCGAACGAACUCCCUUGCAUCCUUGCCCAUAUCGGUCCAAUAAUACCCCGCUCUGAUUACUUUGUGGACUAGCGAAUCGGCACCGAAAUGGUUUCCACAAAUGCCCUCGUGAAUUUCCCGUAGAAUGUAAUCGAUAUCUCUUGGUCCCAAACAUAUUGCCAAUGGUCCAUCGAACGUCCUUCUAAAUAGCGUUCCAUCUUCGACAAGGUGAACCGUGCUGCCUUCAUGCGUAGAGCUCUCGAUUCCUUUGGAUCUGAUGGAAGCUUCCCAUUUUUGAAGUACUCUAUAUAUUUGUUUCUCCAAUCCCAGGUUAAACUUGUGGAGUUUAUCUCAGCGUGACCUUCUUCGAUUACCGAUCUCAUGAGUUGUACGACAGUCCCCGAGUUGAGUUCGUCAUCUUCGACCGAUGAACCUAAGUUUGCAAGAGCAUCGGCCUCGCCUAAAGUCCGAUUGACAUAAUAAAUACGAAAUUGCGUACCUCAUUUUUCUCGAACCAGAACUCCACUUACCGCUAUCUCUGAGACAACUAAGUACAGGUAAAGUUGUUCGUCCACUUUUGGGGUAUGAAGCAACGGCGGGCUCGAUAAAUACCGCUUUAGUUCUUCCAAAGCCGGUUGGCAUUCCGGAGUCCAUGCAAAGUUGCUUUUCUUCUUAAGCAGUGAGAAAAAUCGGUGGCUCAUAUAUGAGGAUAUCGAAAUGAAUCGUCCUAGGGCGGCUAUCCGUCGCGUUAGCCUCUGCACGACCUUUACAUUAUUUACUACCGCGAUGUUCUCAAUAGCUUUUAUUUUAUCGGGAUUGAUCUCGAUUACUCGAUUGGACACCAUAAAACCAAGAAACUUGCCCGAGCCACCCCCGGAUGCACAUUUUUCAGGGUUGAGCUUCAUAUUGUACUCCCUCAGUAUGUCGAAAGUUUUCUGCAAAUGCUUUAAAUGGUCCUCUGCUCGCAGGGACUUAACUAACAUGUCAUCAAUAUAAACUUCCAUUGAUUUUCUUAUUUGGUUUUCAAACAUUCGAUUUACUAGGCGUUGAUAAGUUGCACCAGCAUUUUUAGACCGAAUGGCAUUACGUUAUAACAGUAGGUACCGUACUUAGUGAUAAACGAGGUCUUUUCCUGAUCCUCCGGGUUCAUCUGUAUCUGGUUGUAUCCGGAGUAGGCAUCGAGAAAAUUGAGAGUCUCGUGGCCGGCCCGUGGCAUCGAUCAUACGAUCGAUAUUAGGCAAAGGAAAAGAAUCCUUAGGGCAUGCUUUGUGCAUGUCUUUAUAAUCUAUACACAUUCUAAGUUUGUUUCCCUUCUUAGGGACUGCCACCACAUUUUCUAGCCAUUCAAGGUAUUUUACUUCUCGAAUGGAUCCUAUUUUUAGAAAUUUGGUUACCUCGUCAUUGAUGAAAACAUGUUUGACCUUGGACUAGGGCCUUUUUUUUGCUUUACCGGAUGAAAUUUCGGAUCCAAGCUCAGUCUAUGAGUGGUUAUUUCUGGUGGGAUCCCUGUCAUGUCAAGAUGGGACCAAGCGAAACAGUUCAUGUUAGCUAUAAGAAAUUGAAUAAGCUUUUUCCUGAGCUCGGGAUCUAACCCCGUGCCCAGGUAUACCUUUCGCUCGGGCAGAUGUUCGAUUAGCGUGAUUUGCUCCGGUUCUUCGACCGUUGAUUUGGUAGCGUCGGAAUCAUUAGGGACCACGAAGGAUCGAUGGAUCCCAUAGUCAUCAUCUUUGUCAGUCUUCUGAUUCUCUAGUUGGGUUGAGGCUGACGUUUGUGAUUGAUAUUUGGUAUCCCGUUCCUCUUUGAGUAUGAUCCCUUUGUCGAUGAUAGUGAAGAUAUCGGAAUCACUUCAUCGACGACAAACAUUUUCUUUGCGGCCGGUUGCUCCCCGUAGACCAUUUUAAUUCCCUCCGAUGUUGGGAAUUUCAGAACUUGGUGAAGGGUCAAGGGCACUACUCUCAUGUUUUGGAUCCUUGGCCUCCCGAACAGGGCGUUAUAUCUCAUAUCGCCCUCGAUCAAGUGGAACUUCGUUUCUUGGAUGGUCCCAGCCACGUUUACUGGCAAAAUUAUCUCGCCCUUAGUAGUUUCACACGCCAUAUUGAAUCCGUUUAGUACCAGGGGUGCGGGCACGACCUGGUCCUGUAGACCGAGUUUCUCUACGACCCUUGAUCGAAUGAUGUUGACCGAACUACCUAGACCAAUUAACACACGCUUAACUUGAGUUUUAUUCAUAAGUGUAGAUAUUACCAGUACAUCGUUAUGGGGUUGCAUGAUUCCUUCCGCGUCUUCGUCACUAAAGGACAAGGUUCCUUUUGGUGUGUAAUCCUGAACCUGAGACAAUCGACAUCUUAGUGCAUUUAAGCACCGGCCCCUGGGGGAUAUCGAUCCCUCCGAUGAUCGUGUGGAUGAUGUGUUGUGGCUCUUUUUGUUCGUUUUGUCUAUUGAAAUCUUUGUUUUUGAAAUGGUUUUUGGCCCGGUCACUUAAAAACUCUCGAAGGUGCCCUUCAUUGAAUAACCGGGUUACCUCCUCUCUCAACUGCCUGCAGUCUUCAGUUCUAUGGCCAUGGGUGCCAUGAUACUUGCACAUUUGAUUGGGAUUUCUCUGGGCUGGAUCGGACUGCAGAGGUCGAGGCCACUUAGUAUCUUUGAUGCGUCCGAUAGCCGACACGAUGGCGGAUGCAUUAAUGUUGAAGUUAUAUUCUGAUAACUGCGGUGCUUCCUUAGGUCCGGUAUGCAUGUCGAACCUAUUCUUGUUCAUCAAACCCCGAGACCCUUGGCCUCGAUCAUUUCUCCUUUCGCCUCGUACGGAGUUGCGUGCAGGUUCGCUACCCCUACUAUCUCCGUUAUAUGACCGAUAUCGGUCCUUGCUCGACCUUGGUUCUCGGUCGAUGUCCCUUUUAAUAACGGACCCAGAACCCAACUGGUCAUCUUCGACUCUAAUCUUCGAUUGAUAUCGAUUAUGUACAUCAGCCCAGAUAACAGGCAGGUACUCGAUCAAGUUCUGCUUCAACUAUCGUGAAGCCAUCGAGCUUCGUUCGUUCAGUCCUUGAGUGAAAGCUUGAACAUCCCAAUCAUCCGUGACCGGUGGUAGAUCCAUUCGUUCUAUUUGAAAAUGAGAUACGAACUCUCUUAGCAUCUCGUUAUCUUUUUGCCAUACCUUGAAAAGGUCCGACUUCUUGGUCUCGACCUUUAUAGCUCCGGCAUGUGCUUUUACGAAAGAAUCUUCAAGAAUAGCAAAAGAAUCGAUAUAGUUAUGCGGUAAAUUAUGAUAUUAUAUCAUUGUCCCCUUUGACAGGGUUUCCCUGAACUUCUUCAAUAAUACGGAUUCGAUCUCGUCGUCUUCUAGAUCGUUCCCUUUAAUGGCACAUGUGUAAGAGGUGACAUGUUCGUUGGGGUCGAUCGUCUUAUUAUAUUUAGGAAUUUCGGGCAUGCGAAACCUCUUAGGGAUCGGUUUGGGAGCCGCGCUCGGGGGGGGGGAAGCUUUUGUACAAAUAUUUUGGAAUCCAAGCCCUUCAAUACCGGUGGUGCCCCCGGGAUCUGAUCAACCCUGGAGUUAUAAGUUUAUACUUUUUCGUCGUUUGCUUCAAUCCUCUUUUCUCCUGACUUAAUUCAUUUUGUCAGUUCCUCGAGCAUCCUAAUAAUUUCGGGAUUAGUCCCCAAUUCUUGUUCACUUGAUCUUACUACAGCUGGCCCCGUUUUGUGGGUGACUUCUCAAGGUGGACGGGGCUCGGCCCUGCUCGGUGCCUUGGUUUGGCUCUGCAACUGAGCUAUUACUACCUGUUGAGCUUGCAACAUUUCAAAAAUCAUACGCAGGCUGAUCCCGUCUUCUCCAACAUUUUGGGUAUUUCAAAUUGUAGAUCGAGUUCCACCAUGAAUGUUAUUUUCGGGGUCGGAACGUUGGUUCGCCUCGAUGGCCAUAUGUGAAUUAAAGUCAAUUAGAUCUACGACCCGAGCUCCAACUGGAUCGACGAGUGGCCUUUCAUCCCCCGUCGCCAGGUUGUUGUUCUCAUCUUAAAGGCCAGCUUCGUUGUCAAUAGGUAGGGCCAUUAAUUGAGAGUUCGUCGUUUUUAACCUGAAAUCAAAGACACUUCCAAGAGCAAGUGUAAAAUGGUGUGUUUUGCGAGAUUCGUACCAAAUAACCACUGUUAUCCUUAGCCCCACGGUGGGCGCCAAACUAUUUACUCGAAAAACGGAUAGAGUUGAAUUUAUACAUAGUUCUAAGGAUACGUGGUAUAACUCGGCAAAAAUUAGAAAAAUAAUUGACUGUAAAAAAGAAUGAAUAUAAACCUUAAUUGAGUAGAGAAUGAUUGAUAAAUGAACAAGAUGAAUCAAUAUCAAAAGCCCAAAAAAGAAUAAUAUUUGCUAGAUGUUAUGUAAAUCUUCAUAAUCUCUGAAUGUGAGAAUGUGUGAACGUAUAUCAAUCUCCUCUUUUACAAAUAUUAGCCACUCCUAAUAUAGUGGAGGAAUCGUACUUCGGAUAUAAUUAAAAAUAUAUAGUGGGGAUCCCAUGAUAGAUUAAUUAAUUGACUUUUUCUUAACUCAAGCCGUGAUUUCAGCCGUAAUUUCAGCCGAGAUUUUCUCCCCAAAUGCAGCUAUAACGACUUUGUUAUUCCUUGGCUCGGUCUCUGGGUCUCGAGCUCGACCUUGACUUGAUCUCAGUAUUUGAUCGGUCUCUGGAUUUCGAGCUCGACUUUGAUUCGAUCUCGGUAUUUGAUCGGUCUCUGGGUCUCGAACUCGACCUUGACUCGAUCUCGGUAUUGAUCGGUCUCUAGGUCUCGAGCUCGACCUUGACUCGAUCUCGGUAUUGAUCGGUCUCUAGGUCUCGAGCUCGACCUUCCAACUUCACAUCACAUCUCGAUAUUAUAAUGACAAACCUCGGUCCAUCAUGCUCCAGUCUUGAUUAGUCACACGAAGGGCAAACUCGAUUAUGACCAUAUACACAAUGUUUGAAAUAUUUAAACGAUUGAAUUAUUUCAAAGGUAAUUACACUUAACUCUAUUUAGUAAGUAUUCAUGGAUAAUCUAUUAAUAAAUAUUAAGUAACCUUACUAUAAUAUGUUAAAUUACACUAACAACAUAGACAGAUGUAACGUGCUAAUGACGCGUUCAUUGGAACUUUCACAUGUUGAAUUGGAAUUUGUUGGGUUUCAACCCGAUGAGGCCGGACUUAGGGGCGACUCAUCAGUAUUCGAGGCCUAAAGCAAAGUCUUAAUAAAAGUCAUUAUAUAUAUAUAUAAAAUUUAAUGAGCAUCAUUUUUUGAAAAAUUAGACAAGUGAGUAUGUGAAAUGAAAAAAAAUGAGAACUUGAUUUUAUAAAGUACAAAAAAAUUAUGAAUUUUACGUUGAUUGCAUUACAACUGAAAUGAGAGAACCGAGAAAACAUACUUCCUCCGUCCCAACUUAUGUGAAUCCUUUAUUUUUAGUCAGCCCUCUUUCUAUAUUUGGUAAUAAUCCAACUUUAUAUUUUCUUUUUUACCCUUAAUGAGAUGAUUUCUAGCCACAAAAGUUUCUAUGAUUUAUUUUAGAUCACAAGUUUUAAAAUUUUUCUUUAUUUCAUAACUCCAUGUCUAGUCAAACACUUUCAUAUAGAUUGAGACAGAGAGAGUAUAAUUUAUGUGAGAAAAAUAAAUAAUAAGUUAGAUUAUUAGAUAUAGUUACGUGACUAACUAAUGAGAGAGAAAUAUAAUUUAGUAAAAAUGUAAAAUAAGAUUGACAGAAAACUAUUUUGAUUAUAUUAAUUAGAGGAAGAAAUUGAGUUAUUAAAAUUAAUAUGACAAUAAAGAAAUAAUUAUAUAAAUAAUAUGCUAUAUAUAAAAAAAUAGUAAUUUUGAGACCCUUAAAUUCUUGAGGCUUAAAGUUAGGAAGCAAGUGCUUCACUUGCUUUAGGGUCUUGCCGCCCCUGGCUGGACUACAACCCAUAAACCACAAUCACCUACAUCGUUCCACACCAUAUGAUCAACCCAAUAACCCAUACUUAGCAUUUGUUGUAGGAAAAAUAUUUAGAAAUAGUCUAAUUUACGAUUAAUGAUUGAAAAAUAGCCACAGUUUCUAAAGUAAUUAAAAUUUAGUCAUUUUUUUCAUGUAAAGAUAAAAUCUAAACAAAUACCUUUAAAAAUUUAAAAAAAUUCCAGCAUAAUAUGCUGUAGUUCGAACAUUUACAUAUGAGAUUCCAGUAUAAUAUGCUAGAAUUUCAUAAUGUGCUGGAGUUCCAACAUAAUAUGCUCGAAAUUUAUAUGCAGAACUCCAAAAUCCAGCAUAUUAUACUGAAAACUUCCAUAUUUCAGCUAAAAUAGUAGUAACUAUUUUUUAAUAAUUUUAUAAAUACAAAUUAUUUUUUAAUUAUCAGUCCCAAAACUAUCUAACCAUAUUAUUUUCACGUUAUUGUAUCCUGCUAUUCAAGCCCAUGAUUUAAAUAGGGCCAGUAUUUUCAGUUCUGGAUACUAUGCUUAAUUAAGUGAUCAAAUAUCAGAUAAACAUCACUUGGUGGCUUCAGGAGACUUCUACGUCCAUGUGGCAGUGACGUGGACUCAUUUCUAUUCGGCAUGUGUCAAACUCCCAUUUGGUAAAAUCAUAGGGGUCUUGUCCUAUUAUAUCCUAGGUGUCUCCGGAACCCUCUGUUCUCCUAUUAUUAAAUGGAUCACAAACGCAAAAGUGAUCAUCCGCAAACAAUUCGAUUUUGAGCAGAUACACUAAGCUUAGAAUCAUAUAAUAUCAAAAUUCUUAACUUAGUUCGAUCUACAGCAAUUGUUUACUCCUAUGGCUUUUAGAUCAGCGGUAAGUUCCAAUUACUUCUAUUAUUAUAUAACUUGCCAACUUGGUGUGAUGAUUGUUGCUCUUUCGCUCAUUAUUCAUCUUGAUGCUAGAUUAAAGUAAGAUAAAAGGUUUUUUUUUUCCCCGAUGUUGCAGACUUAUCUAAAAUCCAUUGUUAGUCACUUAUUAAAGGGAAGUUCCUCAGUAAAUUAUGCAACAGCAGCCACUUCAAGAUUUAAGGGAGCGUCACCACCCGUCCAACUUAAAGCGACUGUGCCCAAGUAAGAUUAUCGUUCUACUCCAUAAUCUACUCCUUUUACGUAAAGGAUUUUACGGUUUAUGUAUGCCACUGGCCGCGAAGCCGAGAAUUUUACGGAGGGUGUUCAAAAUUUAAUAUACACUUAUAAAAUAUUAUUUUUGGCCUAUAUACAUAAUAUAAGUUUCUAGAUAUACAAUAUAAUUUUUUGUUGACAACCCUUAAAUGUAUGUGGCUACCCACUAGCCACUGAGUUUGUUGUUGUUGUAUGCGGAUGAUGGCCUAAUUCAGAAUUUAGUAUCAAGUGAAAUAAAAAAAAUAAGAGCGGUCUUAUUAUAUGUUUGCAUUUUAAUUUUUAAGACGUAUGCAUACUCCAGAAAUGGAUUCAAUUUAAUAUUCCUAAAUUCGCCUCUGAUAGUUACAGGUCAAAGAAGGGAGACUUUGUGCCAGUGUGUGUGGCGCUAGGAAUGAUCGGACUAUCGGCGAGUUUCGGGCUGCACACGGCGAUGCAUCAGCUGAGGCGAGCCCCUAAUGUGCAUGUAAAAAAAUCAAGGAGGGAAACUCUGCCUGAGAUAGUGGAGCCAGAACAUGUUGCAGAAGAUGCAGAUAAGUUCAUUAACAAAUCUUUAUUCCGAAAGGUGGCUCACAUUCAGGAUUUUUCUACUAGCCGUGUCAUUCCUGAUCCAGCUCAUGGCGACGUUUAUACCAAGUUAGUAGUAAAGCUAAUACAACUAUUUAAUUACUUCUAUUACUUGCUUUUCAAUUUUGUUUCUCUUUUCGAUUAGCACAAAUAUGGGAUAGUAUUGGUACUUAUCUAGCAAUUUUAUUAUUGCAGGAAGCCGGGUGUAGUGACCUUGAAGACUGUAGGAGUGGAUCCAAAUUAAGCUGUAAAUUAUAUGUAGGUUUUGUGGAGUACUUUGGUUGUAUUUUAGAGUUUAAUCUGUAAUUAUAUAACACUGUACGAAAAUAUGAUAGAACUCAUAUAGUAGAUCAGUAGAUGUUUAAGAUUACGUGAUGGUGUUACUCUUGAUAUUGUGCAUGUUUAUGAAUGAGAGUACUAUAAAUAUGUAGUACAGCUUUGUGAAUACUAUGGCAAUGACUGAUGCAAUUGGGCUACUUUCCAAUGCCAUGUGAUGUUUUUUUGCCUAUCUCGAUGGACGACUUUCGACUCUGCUACACGUUGCAAAAUUAUAUAUUGGCCACCUAGCUACUUCUACUAUAUAAUAUAGUGCAAAGGGACAAACUGUCUUCUUCUUAUUUUCUUUCUAAUUUGUAUCUUACUAAGUUUGUGGGGUUUAAGGCGUUGAGCUUUGAUAUUGUUUGACCAAAAAUAUAAUUCUUGGUUCAAAUAAUUAAAUUUAUGUGAUUAUGAAUUAAACUUAGUUAAUAAUAAUAUUUCUAGAUAUAACUUUCGAGAGUGUGAUAAACGUCAGACAGAUCUGGUCGAAUAAUAAUAACAGUAUGCAAUAACUAUUCCAAAAAGUAUGAGUAAUAAUGUAGCAUUUAAUAGCAAUGAGAAGCAAUAAAUGACAUUUAAGUAAAUAGGAGGAAUGAUUCACCCAAUAAAGGAUGAGCUAGAUAGUUGUUUCUCCUGACAAUGAUGAGUGACAGACAAAUCCUUGAAUGCUCGAAUUAUUUUCGGAUAUGAUGAAAAAGUAUGGAAUAAUAUAGACAAGAAUCUUAGUGAAAAGAUGAUAUUUGUAUAUUAGUAAGAGUGAGAAUCUUUUUUUAUCAAAGUGUGUUCUUGCAAAUGAAUAUUACAUACCCCUAUCAUUGCCUCUUUUUUCUUUUAAUAGUACAAGUAAAGAAAAUAUCUACUAGAAUAUUUCCUUUUAAUAUCAUAUCCUGACAAACUAGCCGUUACAGCUCAUGUCAUUGAUAUUCAACUUCGAUCUCGACUCUUGUUGACAUCUUGACUACGGCUCUUGUUGACAUCUCGACUACGGCUCUUGUUGACAUCUCGACUAAGGCUCAUGUCGACACUUCGGCCAAGGACUUUGCUGCAUCCUGGGUCGCUUCGACUAACGUCGACUCCGAGAAUCCUUCCCAUUACAUUACCUUGGCAUGGAUACUCUAAAGACAGAUUUUGCCUCAUACAGUUAGUCCCUCCACUUAUUGAGAUCGACUUCAGGCGGGGUCGAUGAGCGGAUCUGCUCAUCACGGUAGAAACAAUUGAGCGAGCAAUUCAGGUUGUGGUGGUCACGGUGAGUCGACAACUUGGCCCUAUGCGGACCACCUAUUUCGAAACAUCUCGAUUUUCCCGAUCGGUUUGUUGGAAUUAGUCUGUCCACAGAUUAGGAUGACGUCUUGCGUCAUAAUGACGCAUUUUCCCAAGGCGUUGCUUCGUUUCUCGUGAGCCCUUUGAUUGAACCUGCCGCUUCGGUUACGACGCCAGUAAUGAUGAACCCUUUUUGAUUUUGGUGUCCAGGUUCUUAUAGAUAGAUGUGCUUGGGUGUAUUUUUGAAGUAAUAGACCUUCUACUCCAAAACUCCAUAUCUCUUUCUUUCUUCUCUGUGACUUAGCACUUUCUGUUUCAGGGGCUUUGUUGUUUUCGAUCCUUUAUUGCUUGAUACUUUUUUUUCUUCCGAUAAAAAUAUGACUACCGCACCUUCUGAAUCUGGUGAGGGAAGUGAGCCGGUGCCUUUAGCGAUGGUGAUCCCUCCUCAUGAGGAGAACGUUUCUACUGCCGCCAAGGACGGAAGCUUUCCCAUGGUGGAGGAAAUAGUUCCUCGUAACCCCGAUACCAGGUCUGAUUUCUCGAAAUUACCUAAAGCCGAGCCCAGAACCUUCAAAUCGGCGAUGAAGGAGGCCGAUUUGUUAGAGCUUAAGGCUAAAUACGGCCUCCCUAAUCACGUCGAAUUGAUCCCUGCCGGGUGGGAUGCGAUGCAGGUCCGCCGUCCAGGGAACUGCGCUUUCUCAGCCUACCCUUUUCAUGUCGGCUACACUCUUCCUCUUCUUCCGCUAGUGGAGGAGUUUUGUCACUUCUACGGCGUUUGCCCGGCUUAGCUCGUGCCGUAUGUCUACAAACUUAUAAGGAUGCUCACCAAAUUUGCGGAGUUGGCGGGGGUCGAGCUCACACUUCAACACUUGACACACCUAUUCACCUCCAGCUUUUAUAGAGGGACGAUGCUGAAUCUUCGCCACCGAGGAGGUAAAUCUUUGGUGGUGAAGAUGGACGACAAGGUUAACCACCAAUUAUGGAUCAACGUUUUCUUUGUUAGAAUUGAGGACGUGGUGGCCAAUGCCGAUGGUUUCCCUAAGGCUUGGAAUUGUACUUGUAAGUAUGCGCCUCCUUAUUUGUAGGUAUCCAAAUUUUCUUUUGUGUUUGGCUGUGAUGCUAACCUUCUGCCCCUUCUUGUGCAGCUACGUGUUUGCCUCCGCCAUUGGUCGAUGAUAUUUCCAACUAGAUGGGUCGGCUCCUUCCUCACAUCAUGGGGAUAUGUGAAUGGUCGGGCUUCUUCAAAAGGUUUGGCCCCCAUCUCCCUUCGACUGGUAAGUUAUUCUCGUCUUUGGUCUCUUAGUUAUUUAUCUUUUGUGGCUUACUUUGACUGACUUUCUUUUCCCUUUGUACUUCCCUUAAUUUCAGCUAGGGGGUCCUCGAGGAGGUCGAAAGCUCCCACACCCGCGUUCCGUAAGAGGAAAGUUGUUGCCUCUUCGGCUCCCGCCUCUUCUAUGAACGAGACUGAUUCUGCUCACUCCUAGGUCUUGCCCGUUGCUGCUCCAGUAUCUGUUCCUUCUUUAGCUGCGAAGGUUUAGUCCGCAGAGCCUACGACUUCUCCUUUGUACUUUCUCAUAAAUGAGGAAGAGGAGUCAUUGUGAGGUGAUGGGGACUUGAUGCCUCGUAAAGGGAGAUCAGUGGACGUCGGCGAUAGGAUCGCCUAGGUUGUUGGCUCAAUGGCGAGUGAUUUUACACUGCGCGAGACAACGACUAUUGUCAUUAAAGAUGAUGUCAGGCCGAUGUCUGAGAUUCCGAGAUCGGCGGAGGCCGACGAGGGUAUCUCUCCCUUCUAUGAUGACGGAGGCCGAAGGGCUGACUACUAGAGCUUUUGACACUUCGCGGCAAGUCGAGUCGUCGACUUCGCGGCCAGUUGAUGAUACUUUUUUGUCGGCCGAUGGGAGAGGCAAAGACGUUGACGAAGAAGGCUGUGAUACGGGUUCAGUGAUGCUAGUGACUUGAGGAUGAUGGAGGAAGGGUUUACCCAGCUCGAGGUAAGGCUAGAGGGGUCUACGAGGACCAUUGCGAUCCCCAUGGAUCGUGAUAUGCUAAAGAAUACGGAGAACGUAGUUCCUGCCCUCGGCCCUCUUUUCUCUGAAAUAGAGGGUGAAACCCUCAAAGAACUGAACGAUGUCACCUUGUUGAGGAGCAUAGUCGGCCUUGCUUUAAGGUGAGUAUUUUUGGGCUUCGUCCUUUUGUGUUUUUUUUAAAAGUGUUUUGCCUUUGUUAGCAGGGGCAUUUUCAUUUUUGCCUCCCUUCCUUUUCUUUUUGUGAGUACAGACCAUUAUUUUGGAUAUUAAAAGUGCCCGAAGGGAGGAGAAGCGUAUGAAAAUAUUUGAGAGGUUGAAAAAUAAAUAUUUCGAGUACCGUGGCAAGUACCGUGAGUUUCGCAUGCGGUUUGGUGAGGGCGGCAAUUUGCAGGCCUUUCCAGAUGAAUUGAAGGAGAAGGAUGACGAGUUGGUAAGAGUCAUCAAGAAGUGUAGCGUCUUGAGGGAAAGUUAAGGAGUAGGGAAAAAAAGCUUGAGGUCAGCAGAGUCAUAGAGGCCCAGUGCGGCGACCUUCAGGCACAAGUGGUCGAGCUGCGCAGACAAUUGGAGGAAUGCCGGCUCCAGAUGGAGGUCCUUAAUGGCGAAGUUGCUGAGAAAGUGGAAUAGUUGGAGAAGGUUGAGGCGGCGCGGUCAGAGGAUCUGAAUAAGGCGGAGUCCCAUAAUACAUAGAUUCCUUCAUAACUUAUACAUGUAUUAGUUAUACGGAAAAGAAAAACAUGAACCAAAUAUUGUAUUAGCAAUGCUACAUUUAAAAAAACAACCAAACAUUGUAUAACUUAUGCUAGCUUCUAUGUGGAGAUUAUUUGUUUCCCUUCUUUUAACCAAACAAUGUAUAAAGCUAUCCUAGUUUUAAUACAUGGAUAACUCCUCUCUAACCGGCUACCAAACGGCCUCUAAGGUUAAACCUUUCUUAAAAAUAUGAGUAGUACUGCGUUAAUCUACAAAGUCAGGCGCUUAUAUCGUUUAUAUCAAUAGUAUGAUAGUAAUGCAAAUUGUAUGUAUUUUCUUUAACUUUCCGUUUUAGCUUCUUCCUCCACAUUCUCAUAAUUGUUCAACUCCUCUUCCAGUUUUCUUUUUUCCUUCUUGUCUUCUCUCUUCCUACUCAAUUUAUGUGCUUGGUUGUAUAGUUAUAAGAUGAGUUUUGCUUUCAAAUUUUCGGAAUCGUUGCUGCGUAAAAAUUAUAUAAAUUGGGUAAAUUGUUGGUCCAUUAUUUUCUGUGUUUGUACGCAAAAAAUUGCGAUUGAUUGGGGGACCAAUGUGACGAGGGUACUGGUGGCCAAAUGCGGUGACAGAGCAGAAGAUUGCGAUGGUGGUGAUCAGUAGUCUUUUCUUCUUCUCUUUUUUGUAAACUUUUGUAUAUUUUUGGCGGCAUCUUCAUGAGCCUUUGUAAAAAAUAUUUUAAGUAUGAAAUGCCAAAUUUGGUCUCUGCAUUUGCUUUUGUUUUCUGUACUUAUAUGUUUUUGCUUCUGUUGCUUGUGCAUUGGAACAUGGCCGAGCUCGUCAACUUUUUUGGUUGUGACCUUUCGUUAGGUUACGGUCAAGGGCCGAUAGGUAUUUAUUCGAACGAGUUUGAUCAUAACUUUUCGUUUAAGUUGCGGCCGAGGGCCGGUUGUUAGUUCGAGCGAGGUCGACCACAACCUGAACUUAAUUAUGGUCGAGGGCCGAUAGGUGGUAGUUCGAACAAGGUCGAUCAUAACUUUUAUUUACUCAUGGCCGAGGGUCGGCAGGUGUUAGUUGGAACAAGGUCGAACAUAACCUAUAUUUAAUUAUGUCCUAGGGCCGACAUAUGUUAGUUCGAGCAAGGUCAAACUUAACCUGAAUUUGAGAUAAAUAUGCUGGUAAGUGUAAAGUUUAUUGCCUUGACAUUGUUGCAUUUGUUACAUACUUGGAGAAAUUUACAGAUUUUGGGUGUUGGCUGGCAUUUCAGUCCCAGUCCCAGUCCCAGUCUAUCUAGUCCCUUCAUUGGUCGAUCUGGAGAGUAGUGAGAGGUCGAUCAAUGAAAUAUUAACCAGGACUUGCCUUCGCGUACUUCAACUUUAAGUGUUCCCUUCGUCGCCUCGUUAAAAACCUUCUUGAGAAAACCCAGCUGGGACAAAACUUAAGUUAGGGAAAAAAGAGUACGACUUGGGGGACACUUUUUCUCUUAGAAGUUGAAGUAUUUGAGGUGGCUGAUAUUCCAGUUGUUUGGUAGUAGCUUUCCUUCCAUUGUUUCUAGUUGAAAUGAUUCUUUAUUUGCUUUUGUUGUGAUUUUUUACGGACCGUCCCAAUUUAUUCCCAGCUUGCCUUCCCUGAGAUUUUUGCUCACUUGGGUUUUAGUGACCUGACCUUUGCUUUCUUGUUAUAAUAGCGUUCUGCUUGCUGUUUUUGGGCGAUCAUUCUUAUAUAGGCCAUAUCUCUUCGUUCGUCGACUUCGUCAAGUUCCUACCUUCUACCCUCGUCGUUGCUUGUGCCGCUCUCGUGGGAGUACCUUAGACUGGGCUCUCCGACCUUGACUGGUAUUACCACCUCGGUCCCAUAGACCAAAGAGUAGGGAGUCUAUCCUGUGCUCGUUUUCAGAGUUGUUCGGUAUGCCCACAAUACUUCUGGUAGUACUUCCGGCCACAGUCCCUUGGUGUCCUCAAGCUUCUCCUUUAUGAUGUUUAGUAUUAAUUUGUCGGAGGACUCUGCUUGCCCGUUGCCCGUGGGGUGGUACGGGGUUGAGAGUAUUCUUUUGAUUUGCCAUUUCUCGAAAAAUUCUGCGAUUUUCUUUCCUCGUGAAUUGGGGUCCAUUGUCGCAGCUGAUUUUUUUGGGAAGGCCAAACCGACAUAUGAUAUUUCUCUAUAUAAAAGUGAUUACCUCUUGUUCCCGUAAUUGGGCGAAUGCUCUUGCUUCCACCCACUUAGAGAAAUAGUUAGUUAAAACUAAAAGGAAUCGUACGUUACCUCGUCUUGCUGGGAGGGGGCCCACGAUGUCCAUUCCCCCAUUUUAUGAACAGCCAAGGUGAGGUGACCGAGUGGAGGUGUUCGCCCGCUUGGUGAAUCACUGGGGCGUACUUCUGGCAUUGCUCGCAUCUUUUUUUUCAAAGUCUGCGGCCUCUUUUUUCAUGGUGGGCCAGUAAUAUCCCGCUCGUAUGAGACAUCUGACCAGUGGUCAGUUGCCGGAAUGAGCCCCGCAAUGGCCUUCGUGGAUCUCUUCAAGGAUGCACCGAGUCUGGUUUGGGCCCAGGCAGUUCGCUAAAGGGCCGCCGUAGGUUCUCUUGUACAUGUCGUUACGGAGGAUACUGUAUUUGGCUGCUUGUAUUCUCAGUUUCCUGGCCUCUUUUUUAUAGCGUGGGAGUGUGACGUCCUGCAAGUAUGCGAUAAUACGAUUGUGCCAGUCCCAAGUUAAGUUAAUGGUUCUUACCUCGACUUGGUAUAGCAAUGAGUUGAGGAGAUGGACCACGUUUUUAUCUCCUGUUGUGAUGCUUUUGGUGGUUGCGACUAGUUUAGCGAGGCCAUCUUCCUCGGCGUUCUGUGCUCGUGGAAUUUGGUCGAGCUGACAUUCGUCGAACUCGGGCAGCAGCUUGUAGAUUUCGGUCUGGUAUUUUGGAAAGUCCCUGUGACUUGGUUGACUACGAGCUGAGAAUCAGAGCGUAGUUUUAACCGUUUCGCCCCAUACUAUAGCACUAGUCUUAAAUCUGCAAUGACAACCUCAUACUCGGCCUCGUUGUUAGUCAUGUCUGGGCUCCUUAUGGAUUGGUGAAUUACUUCGCCUGUUGGGACUUCGAGUACGAGUCCCAGUCUGAACCCCAACGCAUUGGAUGCACCGUUGGUGUAUAAGAACCAGAGGUCUUGUGUUUCAGGGGAAGUUUGGACGGCUUCCCUUUCAACUUCAUACGUUAUUUUUGCACUGAAGUCAGAGACGAAAUCAGCGAGCACUUGUGACUUUAUCACCGUUCGUGGCUGGUACGUGAUAUCGUUCUCGCUUAGCUUGAUAGCCCAUUUGGCCAGCCUUCCCAAUAGCUUGGGUUUAUGCAAAAUGCUUCUUAGGGGGGAAGUUGUGACGACCGAGAUGGGGUGACAUUAGAAAUACGGUCUAAGCUUCUGUGAAGGUACGACUAAGGCCAAAGCUAGUUUCUCGAGGUGUAGGUACCUCGUCUCGGCAUCGACUAGUGUUUUGUUAAUGUAAUAGAUGGGAGAUUGCGUACCUUUGUUUUCUCGAAUUAGGACUGCGCUUACAGCUACCUCGGAUACAGCUAGAUAGACGAGGAGACGCUCCCCCGACUCUGGUUUUGAAAGCAAGGGCGGCGACGACAGGUAUGCCUUUAGUUCCCUAAGAGCCUGGACGCAUUCCGAAGUCCAUUGUAGGCCAUUAUCUUUCUUAAGUACACCAAAUAAUUUAUGGCACCUAUCCGACGACCAUAAGAUGAACCUUGAUAGGGCGGCGAUAUGGCCAGUCAACCUUUGGGCCUAUUUUUUACUGGUCAAGUGUUCGGGUAUCCCCCUCGAUGGAUUUAAUUUGGUCAGGGUUGUCCUCGAUCCCUCGCUGUAAUACGAGGAAACCUAGGAAGUUUCCUGAGGUUAUGCCGAACGCACACUUCUCCGGGUUGAGUUUCAUUCCGUACUGUCUGAGUAUGCCUAAAGUUUCGUUCAGAUGGUCGAUGUGAUUUUCUCCCCUUUUAGACUUGACCAACAUGUCGUCUAUAUAUACUUUUAUUGUCUUUCCAAGCUGAUCCUUGAACAUCCUUGUCACCAACCUUUGAUAAGUCGUCCUCGCGUUCUUUAAUCUGAAGGGCAUGACCCUGUAGCAGUACGUUCCUUAGUGGGUGAUAAACAUGGUUUUAUCCUGAUCUUCUUCUUCCAUGAGGAUCUGAUUAUAGCCUGAGUAAGCAUCCAAGAAGCUUAGUAGCUCAUGUCCGGCCGUUGCAUCAAUGAGUUGGUCGAUGCGAGGCAGCAGGAACGAAUAUUUUGGGAAUGCUUUGUUCAAGUCUGUGAAGUCUACGUACAUCCGCCAUUUCCCAUUCUUCUUUUUAACCAUUACCACGUUGGCGACCCAUUUGGGGUACUUCGAUUCCCCGAUGGAACCAUUUUAUAACAGUUUUUCCACUUCCUCGCGCACUGCGUCAUGGAUUGCAGAGUUGAAUUUACACCUGACCUUACUUACCGGGGGGUGGAAGGGGUCGACAUUUAAUUUGUGCUUGGCGGUCUCCUUUGGUAUACCCGACAUAUCUGCAUAGCUGAAAGCAAACAAAUCCGCGCUAGUUUUUAAGAAUUGACUAAAUUUACCUGGGUCCUGAAGUUUGCAACCGAUAUAGGCCUUCUCGCUAUGGUCAUUGGGGUCUAAUUGAACAGGGUCGAGGUCUUCUAUGGUCGAUCCUGCAGCUUCGACUAUGUCGGGAUCUUUGAUGCCUUCCCCAAUCUCGUCAUGCCCCGACCUCGACCGUGCUGAUUUCUAUGCCUCUUUUUCUUUGUCCUUCCUUUAUUGGGACGCCAUGUUGUCUAAAGCAAUGCGAUAGCAUUCCCGGGAUGUACGCUUCUCUCCUCGCAUGCUGAAUAUUCCCCAUGGAGUUGGGAAUUUGACGACUUGGUAUAAGCUGGAGGGGACGACCUUCAUGUGGUGUAUCCACGGUCGUCCCACUAUGGCAUUGUACACGAUGUCUUGGUUCAUGAUGUGGAAUAUUGUUUCCAGAGUUAUGCCGUCGGCCAAAACAGGGAGAGUAAUUUUCCUGGACGUCCGUUCAACUGCAUUGUUAAAACCAGCUAGCGUGAUGCAGUGCGACACUAUCUUAUCCUCGAGUUUCAUCUGGGUAAGUACUCGGGGAUGAAUAAUGCACACGCUGCUCCCUUCAUCUAUCAUAAUACGUUUAACAUUAGUAUCUAAAAUUCAUAGAGUAAUAACGAGGGUGUCAUUAUGAGGAAAAACCAAACCAUCGGCAUCCGACUUGUCGAAGAUGAUACUUUCUUCGAGUUCGUCGUACCGUUCAUGGGUGAUGGAUUGCUUGAGUUUGUGGGUAGUGGUGAACUUUACGCUGUUGAUAGAGGCAUCGUCUCCGAUAAUCAUGUUGAUGGUACGAGUUGGUGAGGGUGGUUUGGGCGGUCCUUGAUGUUCGCGUCCUCUAGCGAAAUUAGUUCUUCCCUUAUCGCUUAGCAGCUCUUUAAGAUGUCCUUGUCGUAGCAUAUUCACAACUUCCUGCCUUAGGGCGAUGCAGUCUUCCGUCUUGUGCCCUCGUUCCUGGUGGAACUCAUAGAGGGCAUCAGAUUUUCUGGUAUUAGGGUCCGAUCGCAUCUUUGGUGGCCACUUCACUUUUGGCCUGAGCUUCUCCAGGGCAUAGACUAUCUCUGUAGGUGACACACAAAUUGUGAGCAGAAAAUAGGGGCAUACCUCUGUCAUUCCGAUGAGUUCCCGUCCUUGGUCUUGAUAGAUAUGGGCCUUCUUUAUAGCGGGGGGAGGAGGCGGCAACCGUUCUGAUAUAUGGUUGAUGCCAUUCCCUGUUAGGUCGCCGAAUUGGAUGAUCUCUUAUGGUAUUCUCUCUUCGAUCCUUUUUUGAUUCUGCUUGUACCUAGGUUAGUCGGUAGGUUGGCCCGUUGAGGUCGUCCUCAUCUGCACGGACCUCGACACAGUAAGCAUUAUGGAUUUCGUCCCAAGUGGUUGGGGGUACUUCAUCAACCGGCUCAAGAGCUUCCUCGUAGCUCUUAAACCGUCCCUACUCAGCCCGUUUUGAAAAGUUGCGACCGUCAUCCCUUCGGACACGUUUGGCAAAGUCAUCCUUACUUGGUUGAAUCGGGCGAGGAAGUCCCUCAUCCCCUUUCCUAGAGAUUGUUUAAUAGCAAAUAUGCCGUUCACUCUCGCCUCGGCUUUCUUGGCUCCGGCGUGGGCCAUUACGAACUUGUCGGCCAUUUUUUCAAAGGUUUCUAUGGAGCGUACUGGUAGAUGUGAAUGAAUACCAGUUUAAUUCCCCUCCUGCGAGGGUUUCGCCGAAAUUCUUCAGCAAGAUGGAAGACACAUGUGCUUUGGCAAGGUCGUUGCCUUUUACGGCAAUGACGUAAUGAGUCACAUGAUCUUCAGGGUCAGUUGUGCCGUCAUAUAUCCUGAGAUAGGGUGGCAUUUUAAAGGUUUUAUGUAUGGCAUGCGGUGCUGCAUCAUCAUUGUAAGGUUUCUCGACGAACCAGCCAGCGUCCCUUUUCGGCAGCAGCUUAGGAGCGCCCGAUAUCUUGUCAACUCUUUCCUGGUGUUCUUUUAUUUGAUCUCGGAGUGCCUUGUUUUCAUUCGCCAUUUCCUCCAUCCUUUUCAGAAUGGUUGCAGAGGCGUUGUCACAUGCACUAUCAGUGACAUUGUGAGUAAUACCUGUCGUUGGAGGAGGAGGUUGGUCACACUACUCGUUCGCUGGUUGUAUAGUGCAAGCCCUUGAGUUUUCUGUAGUCAUGUCCCCGGCGGGCUUAUUGAGGACGCUGGUUAGCGUGUCAGUUAGCCACGCUUCAAGGAGCCUUUUUAUAGCAGGGGUGUCUCAUCCACCACAGACGUGAAGACUCCCAUACUAUGAGAUUUUGUGAUACUGUAAUGAGGGGGCGGUGACCCAUCUCGUCUAGGGGAGGCACUGGGCGUCACGCCUUCGUCUGCUAUUUCACAGCUUUUGUUGAUGACGUUCAUGAGGUUGGUCGGGAGGUCACUUAUGAUUCUCGUCCUUUCUUCUCGGUUACCUGCCAUGUUGGGAUUUGUGUACACAAAGAAAUGAGAUCUUAUUUUUGCUUACUUUUUUUUUUAUGUUAGUAACCCGUGCUAGUUGUAGAUCUAGAAGAAACUAAAAGCUUUAACUAAGAAAUCCCCACAAACGGAGCCAAAUUGUUUGACCAUAAAUAUGAUUCUUGGUUCAAAUAAUUAAAUUUAUGUGAUCAUGGGUUAAACUUAGUUAAUAAUAAUAUUUCUGGAUGUAACUUUCGAGAGUGUGAUAAACGUUAAACAGAUCUGGUCGAAUAAUGAUAACAGUAUGCAAUAACUAUUCCAAAAAGCAUGAGUAAUAAUGUAGCAUUUAAUAGCAAUGAGAAGCAAUAAAUGGCAUUUAAGUAAAUUAGAGGAAUGAUUCACCCAAUAAAGGAUGAGCUAGAUGGUUGUUCCUCCUGACAAUGAUGAGUGACCGACAAAUCCUUGAAUGUUCGAAUUAUUCUUGGAUGUGAUGGAAACAUAUGGAAUAAUAUAGACAAGAAUCUUAGUGAAAAUGUGGUGUUUGUAUCUUAGAAAGAGAGAGAGAAUCUUUUCUGUCAAAGUAUGUUCUUGCAAAUGAAUAUUACAUACCCCUAUUAUUGUCUCUUUUUUCUAUAUAUAUGAGACAUUUUCCUAAAAAACCCUAAUAGUACAAGUAAAGAGAAUAUCCACUAGAAUAUUCCCUUUUAAUAUCCUAUCUUGACAAACUAGCCGUUAUAGUUCCUGUCAUCGAUAUUCAACCUCGACCUCGACCCUUGUUGACAUCUCGACUACGGCUCUUGUCGACAUAUUGACUACGGCUCUUGUCGACAUCUCGACUACGGCUCAUGUUGACACUUCGCCCAAGGACUUUUCUGCUUCUUGGGUCGCUGCGACUAACGUCGACUCUGAGAAUCCUUCACAUUACAUUACCUUGGCAUGGAUACUCUAAAGACAGAUUUUGCCUCAUACAAAUAUAUGUCCGUUCAUUGAAAGCAAGUAGAAGAGCAAGAUAAAAGGAGUGCCUAUACCUUCUCAAAAGAAGGUUAAUAAAUGGAUAAACUGAGACUUCUCACGGCAUCACGGCUAAAAAUUGAUGGACCCUAUUUAUUUUAAGAAGUAAAAAAGUCCUUUUUGCUAUAAAAUAAAGACUGUAAAGUAAAGACAAGUAUAGAGAGAAACUGAUAUAUUAUUCAACUUCAAACUGAUGUACAUAAUGAACUGAAAAUUCCUCUAUUUAUAGAAGAAAGGAAGCAGCUGCGAGGCUUUUCGUGAGCUGCUUGUAAGCUAUAUGCAUGAGCUGCUUGCAACCCGCCUGUUUAAUAAGAAGCUUUUCUUGAGUUGCUGGCAACCUGCAUGCAUCAGCUGCUUGUAGAUAAACUUCAAUAGAGUACCAAAUGGGUAAUCUUCUUCAAAAAGAUUAUCUAUAGCGGAGUAAUAAAUGGACAUCCACGUUAUAAUUAUUUUCAUAACACUCACCCUUGGAUGUUCAUUAAAAGAUAUUGUACCUCGUUAAAACCUUACAAGGAAAAACCCAGUGGGAAAAAUUCUAGUGAAGGAAAAAGAGUACACAUAUUUAGUAAUGCGCAUUUCUAGCUGCCUCAUUAAAAACCUUAUAAGAAAAACCCUGUGGGAAAAAUCUUAGUAAGAGAAAAAGAGUACAACGCGUAUUUUACUCCCCCUGAUGAAAACUUUGUUUCAAAUAUUUGAGUCUCCACAUUCCAAUCUUGUAUACCAUCUGCUCAAAAGUUGAAGUUGGCAAAGAUUUAGUGAACAAAUCUGUUGGAUUGUCACUUGAACGGAUUUGUUGCACAUUGAUAUCACCAUUUUUCUGAAGAUCAUGUGUGUAGAAUAAUUUUGGUGAAAUGUGCUUCGCUCUUUCUCCUUUUAUAAAUCCUCCCUUUAAUUGGGCUAUGCAUGCAACAUUGUAUUCGUAUAAAAUUGUGGAUCUUUUAUCACAUUCCAAACUAUAUUUUUCUUGAAUAAAAUGAAUCACUGAUCUCAACCAUACGCAUUCCCUACUUGCUUCAUGAAUAACUAUUAUCUCACCAUGAUUUGAAGAAGUAGCAACAAUUAAUUGCUUUGUGGAGUGCCAUAAUAUGAUAGUACCUCCACAUGUAAACACGUAUCUGUAACGACUCAGCCGGUCGUUUUGAGUAUCACAACCUCGUUUCUCCAUUUGCUACUCAAUUUGUUCUUUAUAGCUAUUAUAUGACUUAUCGAGUUAGUUAGUUCGGGUCCGGGGAGAAUUUAAAGUAAAACGAGACACUUAGUCUCUUAAAUGGAAAGCUUAAAUUGAAAAAGUCGACCGGAUGUUGAUCUAUAUGUAAACUACCUCGGAUUAGAAUUUUGAUGAUUCCAGUAGCUCCGUAUGUUAAUUUUGAACUUAGGAGCGUGUCCGGAAAGUUAUUCGAAGAUCCGUAGUAGAAUUAGGCUUGAAAUGGCGAAAGUUGAAUUUUUGGGAAGUUUGACCGGGGGUUGACUUUUUAAUAUCGGAGUCGAAAUCCGAUUAUGGAAAUUGCGAUAGGUUCGUAAUGUGAAAUGUGACUUGCGUGCAAAAUUUGAGGUCAAGGACGUAAUUUGAUAGGUUUCGGCAUCGGUUGUGGAAGUUUAAGUUUCAAAGUUCAUAGAUUUUGAAUUAGGGUAUGAUUCGUCAUUUUAGUGUUGUUUGAUGUGAUUUGAGGCCUCGAGUAGGUCCGUAUUAUGUUAUGGAACUUUUUGGUAUAUUUGGUUGAGGCCGGGGGCCUAGGGUGAAUUUCGGAUUGUUAAUGGAUCAAAUUCGGACUUAAGGAAAUGUUGGAAUUGCGGCCUACUGGUGUGAUCGCACCUGCGAAGCUUUUGAUUGCAGGUGCGAAGCCGCAUGUGCGCGCAAUCAAUUGCAGAAGUGGCUAAGAGUGGAACUGGGUAGUGCUCGCAGAUACGAAGGGUAAUACGCAUCUGCGAUCCUGCAGAUGCGAGGUUUUGGAAGGCUGGUUGUGUCCGCAGGCGCGCAAUGUUUCCGUAAAAGCGGAUGCGUAGGUGUGAGCCCAGGCACCGCAGGUGCGGAAAUGUCUGGGCAAUGUUAAAAACGAGGGUUUAUGAGAUAUUUCUCAUUUUGGACAUUUUGGAGCUCGGUUUGGGCGAUUUUGGAGAGUAAUUUUUUCACACAACUUGGGGUAUGUGUUCUUGACUCCCUUGUGGUUAUAUUUCAUGAAUUAAUCUUCAUUUUUGGUGUAAGAUUAUUGAAUCUUCAAUAGAAAUAAAAGGAAAUUUCUUUAUUGUCACAAAACAAAUUUUUCGAGUUUUGAAUACAGAUUCAGAGUCGGAUUUGAGUGAAAUUAGUAUGGUUGAACUUGUAAUUGGAUGGGUUGUCGUAUUUUGUGAGUUUCGUCAGAUUCUGAGACAUGGGCCCCAUGGGUGAUUUUGGGGGCUUAAUUUCGGAUUUUGUGAAAAAUAUUGGUAUUUUGAUAUGAAAUUAAUUCCUAUAAAUUGUGUGGACUGAAUGAAAUUAAUUGUGACUAGAUUCGAGUCGUUCGGAAGUUAUUACACAGAAUGAAAUUUCUGGAGCAUUGUUUAGCUUGCUCGACAUUGGAUUCAGCUUGUUCGAGGUAAGUAACUCUUCUAAUCUUGGAGCUGAGGGUAUGAACCCUGAAUAUACGUAUUAUGUGAAUUGUCUUGAGGUGACACACAUGUUAGGUGACAGGCGUGUGGGCGUGCACCAUAGAAAUUGUGACGUUAUUAUUUUGUGGAAUUUUGUAGUCAAAUAAUCUUGGCAUUUUCCAUGUAGUUUUAUGUGUUAAAGAAAUUGAGCUGAGAAUCAUAUUAAAAAUCAUGUUGAGGCUAUGUGCCAGUAUUAUUGGGACCCACAGAGGUCAUAUUGCUGUGAAUUAUUUGUUUUAAAUUGAAAAUUCAUACUCCGUCAUAUUUAUUUCAUUGAAUAUCAUAUCUCAGUCUCUGUUGUUAUUCAUUAAUACAUCAUAUCAUCAUUUUCGGGCUAGUUAUUGUGAGCCCGAGAGACUGGAGAAAUUGAUGACUGAGUGAUGCCGAGGGCUUGAUUGUGAGGAUUAUUAUGUGAAUCGGGGCUUCCCGCCUGCAGCAGGCCUUAUAGGCUUUAUUAUAGCACGUGAGUUGUCCGUGCAACACGUGCGUUAUCCGUGCAGAAUAUAGCGCUUGGGCUGAAGGAGCCCCUCCGGAGUCUGUACACACCCCCUGUGAGUACAGGUACCUACUGAGUGCGAGUGCUGAGUGAUUGGAAGGAUUGAGUGACUGUGAGGCAUGAGUGACUGUGAGGACUGAGUGACUGGGAGGAUUGAGUGAUUGGGAGAACUGAGUGAAAUGAUACUCUGAGAGUAUGCAUAUGAUUUUUAUCACUGAGUUGCAACGCAUUGACAUGCACACAUGACAUACCGGCAUAGAGAUGUAUCUUCCUCAUGCUAUACAGUAUCACAUCAUUCAUGAUUCUCACAUAGGGUGACAGAUGGGCAUAGCGAUGCAUUUGUUUUACACGGGUUAUCUGAAAAUAAAAUGAAACAUCUCAUUUAUUAUUGAAAGGAUUUUGGAAAAAUAAUUGUUUUCAAACUUAUUCAUAUUUUUGGCAACUCCGGUAAACGAUUUGGGUUUUCAUUGAUGUACUUGAAAGGCAGAACUAUUUUCAUA
rnacentral:lncRNA from 1 species